rnacentral:lncRNA from 1 species
GGCGGUUCAACCACUCCAACAGGUCCGAUCGACCGUGACAACUCUCUGAUUCCGGUCUGAUCCGGUCCCGUUCUCCAUUACGCCAUUAAUGGGCCAAAUCGUGCCCAAUUAUUACAAAACAGGACAAACCUCCUGUCACCUCCCAGGUAACAAAAAUCCUCCUAUAAAAGGAAACCUGGGGGGAAAAGGGAGGGGGGACCAAAAAUAAGAGGAAAAACCCGGAGCUGGAGAGAACCCUCCUAGACCGGGGGAAAAAGGAAGAAAACAGCACAGACCCAAUUGAACACAAUAUUCUCUUUGUCUUCUCCACAUACUCCCUUCCCUGCUCUCUCCACAUAUCUGCCCCCUCUGACUUAGGCAUCGGAGGGCCGGCGCCGGGGAGCCCGGCCACCGGUUUUCCUUGCAGGACUUGCACACCCCCCUCGCAGCGGAGGACGCAGCCGGCCGGCGCACCGCCGUCCGCCCCCUGUAGCAGCGGAGCUCCUCCUUNNNNNNNNNNNNNNNNNNNNNNNNNNNNNNNNNNNNNNNNNNNNNNNNNNNNNNNNNNNNNNNNNNNNNNNNNNNNNNNNNNNNNNNNNNNNNNNNNNNNNNNNNNNNNNNNNNNNNNNNNNNNNNNNNNNNNNNNNNNNNNNNNNNNNNNNNNNNNNNNNNNNNNNNNNNNNNNNNNNNNNNNNNNNNNNNNNNNNNNNNNNNNNNNNNNNNNNNNNNNNNNNNNNNNNNNNNNNNNNNNNNNNNNNNNNNNNNNNNNNNNNNNNNNNNNNNNNNNNNNNNNNNNNNNNNNNNNNNNNNNNNNNNNNNNNNNNNNNNNNNNNNNNNNNNNNNNNNNNNNNNNNNNNNNNNNNNNNNNNNNNNNNNNNNNNNNNNNNNNNNNNNNNNNNNNNNNNNNNNNNNNNNNNNNNNNNNNNNNNNNNNNNNNNNNNNNNNNNNNNNNNNNNNNNNNNNNNNNNNNNNNUUUGUGCUAGUACUAGACACCUAUUGAUACUAUGUUUAGUAGACAUGGAUCUCUAAUAUCUCAACCAAAAUAAACUAAUAUAUAUGCUAAUUAUAUAUAUAUAUAUAUAAUUAGCAUAUUUUUUUGUUAAAAUAUUUGUAGAAGAAGAAAUAAAGAGUGAGAAAAAAAGUAAUUUUAUUUUUUCGAUUCCAUCAUAUUCGGUACACCUCAAAAAUUGUAAAAACUCAUAUAUAGACUCUAUAUUAAAAAAAAUAAUAUCGAUUGAUAUAAAAUAAAAAAAUUGUACUCGCUAAGUUAUUAUGUAAUUUUUAAAAUUAUUCUAAUAAGAUCGUACUAAUAAAAAAAAUAAUACCGACCGAAACACGAUCACACUAAAUAAAAAAAAAUAUAAAAUAGAUUUAUAAAAGAGCAUCAAAAAAAAUUAACUAAUAAUUUUCGGCAUAAAUAUUCCAUUAAAAUUGUUAAUCUUGUUUGCUAUAUCAGAUCCCAUAAUUAACUUCCGUCUUCAAAUAUUGUAGCCAUUAGAAAAUAAGUUCCUGCCGCCUAGCACUAGCCGGUCGCAUCAAUUUUCGGAAUCACGAUUUCAUGUCGAAGUAAGCAAUCGUUUACGUACACGUACCGCCGGCUGUGGUCCCCAGGACGUACACGUAGAUGUUGGCGAGCCUACAAAUAAACAAGCUAUUAGAAACAGUCCGCGCGAUCGCUGUCCCUCGACACGAAGCAAACGGAGGUGAUCAUUAGAUGGAACAGGGGAUUUGACGUAUUGCAUCGCACCGUCGGCCCUCCGUCUGUUUGCAUCUCAAAUCCAACCCCGGCGUGAAUCAAGGGAUUGAUUGCGUCGUUUCAUCAAAGAGGAGAAGCCAAUGAGAUAUCAAUGGAGGCCCGGGAGUUGGAACUUGGAACGAUCUAUUGCUAAAAUUUUGAGGUCUCUGAACCCGUAGAUGUUGUCCGAAAGAUAGCGCGGAAGCAGUACGUAUGUAUGUCAUGCUAGAUUUUGGCAUGAGAAGAGUGAGCACUGCAACAUAUCCAAGGUGAUUUUACUCAUGUUUUCCUCUUCAAAGAAGAAAGAAGAGGGAGAGAGAAGUAGGCUAAGGGAAGGCAAUCAUCUGCACAUCCAUUAGAGGGUUCGAAUUUCGGGUCUAACAAGUUCAGUUAAAUAAAACAUACACACACGUACGUACGCAUGAGCCUCAUAACAUUCAGACUAAACUCUUGUUUGCUUGUACAUGACUUGGGAGCCAUGUUGAAACUCAAGCAUCAAACUUAUCAGCCCAAUUUGGAGUUGCAGUGAAAUAUAGCUUUCUUCAUUUCCUUGAAGGGAAAAAAGAGAGAGAGAAAGUUUGUUGCUUGUAAUUUCACAUAUCAUACUAACUCCCAUUAACCCUAUAUAUAAGCAUAAUCUAUCAUAAGAUGCAUGAUAUGUUAUCAACAAGCUAGCAAUCUCGGAGAACUUUUACAAAGAACCACAAUAGUUGUUUCUACUAUAUCUAGAUGAAAUUCUGCAAAAUUAUAAGCUCUUGACAUUUAUGUCGCUUGGAAUGGAAAAUUUAAGUAUGUACUUGUUUCUUUUUUAUAUUUAAUGCAUUUGACUACUGAAAGUUUUGAAUUUAAAAUUUAAAAUAUUAAUUAUAUAAUUAAUUAUUAAUUAUAUUUUAUAAAGUGAAGAAAAAUAAUUUUUUUAAAAAGAUCUAUCCAGAUAUUAAAUACGAAGAUGCAUAAUAGAGCGACACGAGUAUCAAAAGUUGUCUUGUCUCUGGAUUAGCAAAUAGCAGCGAAAACGUAAGAAAAUCUUUAUCAGGUCAAACAGUAGAUCAAAACUAAGAAAAAAUGAUCGCCAGCCGGCAUUUAAGAAACCAACCGAGCAUCUUUCAUUGUUUUGUAAACAUCGCCAAGAAAAUUUAAUGCUCGUUUGAAAUAACCUUAGACAGCGCAAAAGGGUCCAUCUCCUCCUUUAAAAGUCGUCGGCGUGGACACCAUGGUUUCCACAAAAUGGACGGAGAUCUUAUGCUUUCCAUGUGGACGAACUUACGACCAACCCCUUGCUGUGCCUCACCAACCCAGCUUUGACAAAAUAAUGGAGGAAUGGAGGAUUGAAGGACUAAAUAAUGAGCCAUGCCGUCGCAUACUAGACAAGAUCAUGUUCCUGCUAUCUUGAAGUUGGACCCACUAAAUCUGGAUGCAGCAAUGUGGUCCAAAAAAUUUAUUAAAAUUCUCAACCAAGGGCACGUUUGGAUGUGUCAUGAUUGCUGUAUAGUGAGGUGUCUCGCUAAGAAUUUUAUGAGUUGUAAUAUUAAACUUUUACCAACGUAGAUUGGUUAGUUGGAAUAAAUAUUGUGAGCAAUGGUUUGGUAUAUGAAAUAAAUCUCAAAUGGCACAAGCGAAUCUUGCUAGUUUAUAAGUAUCUUUUCAAGAAUCUAUAUCUACCUAGUAGGAUAUAUAUAUUAUCUCAGUCGUUAUAGCCAUCAUGUCUUGUCAAUUUUUUUCAGCUAGAAGCAUCUGUGUUCGGAGAAGCUGGUAGGUCUUCAUCUCAUCUGUGUGUCCAGAGAAGCUGGCAGAUCUUCAUCUCAAAUUUUAGAGUAACCUGGCGCCGCAUGUUGAGAAACAUUGAUUUAUCUUAUUUAGAAAAAAGCUAACUCGCAUCAGAAAGCAAAGCUCAUAUUGUUGCAUAUUUAAAAUAUAGAGAUUUUUCAAAUUACUUAUAGUUUGCUCAAUUUUUUAAAUAAUUUAAUGGGUCUACUUACAAAACACUAUCUUUUAUAAAAAAACUUCCAUUGUUCUUUUGUAUUUUUUUUUAGGGGUAAUUAAUAGCGCGGUCUUUUGAAGGAUGGGGAAUUAAUUACUCCUUUUUUUAUAAGUUUUUUGUAAAUAGUUUCUAUAAAAUCUCUUUUAGUAAAGGCCAGGCCACUGCGUGGCUUUGCCUCCCUCUUCAUCCAAAAGAAGAAAUAAUAAAUGAUGCAUCCAAGAUUUAUUCUCCACUAUUGAACAAGUUGGAUGGGGCGGUUGCUUGCAGUAUGAAUUGCUGCUGUGUGGAGAAAAGUAAAGGAGUGAAUUUGUAUGUAUAAGCUAAUUGAACAGGUCCUUUAUAGUGAAUGAGAAAAUAAAAGAUUAACCAUGAGAUGUAGUUAAAAAGACAGAAAGCCCCAAAACAAAAAGGGAACAGAAUCCACGGAGAGUCUCAGACUUUGAGAGUCCCAUGGAGGUCUGGUGGGUGCAAUAAAUUAUGAACUGCCGGUAGGACAUCAAUAGAAUUACAGCACCGGGUUGAAACAUAGAAACGUAAAGGCAAAGCAUAGGAUGCAAUCAAUUCCGGCACGACGCAUUAUUAUCACCAGAAGGGGAGAUCUGGUGGACUUCAGAAAACAUAAAUAAGAGAAACCGUUGGCAAAAAGUAAAUCCCGACCCCCCUAGAGUUCCUUCUUCCUCGGGGUGAAAGAAAUCUUUAAUGGACUUCUCUACAUAUCUAAGGCAAACCGUGGAGGUAUUUAUUCCACAUUACAAAUAUCAUAUUAACUACAGUUCAGUUUUAAACUCAAGUGACAUCAGAAACCUACAUCCUAUCAUCUAGUAUAUAAUAGAAGCGGCGUGGCUGCACUGUGAGCACCUAUGCUGGCAUGCGUUUAGUCCCACAUUGAUUAUUCGCUGGAUAGAUUUUAGAUAUUUAUACAAAAUCAAGAAAUCCAAAUAAUACAUUCUAACAAGCAUUUUCCAUCUCAUAACCUAUGUGGACUAGGAGAUUCUGCAACACGGAUCUAUUAUAAAAUUUAGACAACAUUAAUUUUUUCUUGUAAAAUGUUUAAGAAAUUUAUCGCCAUAUAUAGGAACAUCAGUCAAAAAUCGAGCAUAUUUAACAAUCCGUAACAAAUGAAAAAUCUUAAUAGAACAGAUUCCAAAUAUUUCAUGGGGUGUGGGACUGCAGCCAUCGAGCACACAUACCCUCCUCUUGGAUCAGUGGCAGGCAUUCGUAACGCCAAAUCUAAAAUCCUAAUAUCACCAUAAUUACAAUUUAAAAUUGGCAUAAUUGGAUUGAUGCAUAAUUCAAAACCUAGAGACCUUGUAAUCUAAAUUGGCGGUAACAGUCGCCAUAUGCAUGGAGAAUAGUUCAAACUUUGACUUGGAAUGGCAAGUGAUGGCGGUAAAGUUUGUUUGAACGUUGAAGUUAUUGGUUUUAUAGAUCAAAGGGCACCCUGUCUCAUGGUCGGCCAGUAGGGCUCGCUCUAUAUAUAGGCCUCCAUCGCUUGAAGGAAGAUGACGGUCAUAAGCCGUUGUUCACUAGGUGGGGCUGCCGUAGACCUUCUCAGUUGUUUUCUUCUUAUUAGUUGAGACCUCUUCGGUGGAAGAGGGAUUAAUCAUCAUCUUGCAACAUUCCUGCCACGCUACUAUUGUUUCAAAAAGAUCGUUUUCAUCCAAAGUAUAUGUGGAAACUUAUGUUAAAUUAUCGGCCAUCAAAAUACAAAUAAGGGUGAUGAAUUAGUGCAACGGUCUGCCUUUUGCCCCACAGCUCGGAGCAAAGGUCAGCGCCGGCUCUUUUGGUGAACUGAGCUCUUUAGUCACAACUGGCAGGGAUGAAGGUGUGGGAUUUUUGUGGACAUCAGGCAAAAGAUUAGAACGCACAUAGCUGAAACCAUAAAUCAUUCAAUCAACAAAACAUCAUUGUAAUAGCCAGAGCUAUCCAUGAAACCAUUCGUCUAUCACAAGACUCUUUAUUUGAAGGCUAUUUGAGGUCAUUAAAAAACUUUUUUGAAAAAAUGGAUAACAAACAACAUGGAUCGCUUCAAAAAAACUGUAUAUUUCAAAAAAAAUGAAAUACGUAAACUAUAAAUAGAGGAAAACAAGGAUAACAAACAACAUUACAAUUCACUUUUACACGCGAUCAUAAAUACUAUUUUUUUUUUGAAAAGUACCAAGCCAAUGAAAUAUUGAAGGAACGCGUCAACCAAUUAACUCAAAGAAAGCUGGAUGAGCGCAUACCCUCUUCCUCAUUUCCUCCAUUCCUGGCAAGAACUCGACUUGCUAAAGCGUCCGUCCUUGCCAAGUGCGACGAACGGCAAAAGGAAACUACGACGCCGUUCUUCCUUCACCGUGGGCCCACCAUGCCGUCAAGCUGGAAAUUUAUGACAUCGACCAGGUCCAGUGGACCAGUCCAAUAGCCUGUCGACACGUUACCGUACUUUAUUUAAGCACUCAAGAUCAAAACAGGGCUGAGGAUUCAUCCCGUUAUCUGCCGUACACGUGCUCCAGGACAUGGACCGGUCCACUGGAUCUUCUCCGGGAUUUCGGUUGGGUCCCUAAUGAAAGGCCUCCCCAUAUUCUCGUCCAAGUGCAGAAUGUUCGGCCCACCUCGAAGAAAGCGCGAUCAUGCGCCCCCCUCGGCCGAGCGACGGUCACAUCGCAGCGCGCACAAUCGGUUGCCUUCCCAUCAGACGGCCCCGGCGGGGGAAACGUGUGGUCAGUGAUUGCCUGUCCCAACAGGACAUGACGUGUCUGCCAUCCGCCACAAUCACAGCUAUAAAAUAAGUCAAACAGUGUACUUUACCCGUAAAGGAACAAAUUACACGAAAUCUCAGGCGUCUGAUCUUGAUAGGACGGCCAUCAUUAUCAAACCGACGGUCAAAGAUUGGUCCAGAGCCCGCGAUUAAUUUAAGUCCGGAGACGCUCUCUAUAUAUCGCGCUUUAGUCCCGAAAACCAGAGAACGGGUCAGUGUUUUCCCGUUCCGGAAAUAGCCUAGGUUGGAAGAGCGGGAGGAGGAGGAGGGAUCGGACGGCGGACGACAAAGGGGGAGUCGGAGAUCGACGAUGGGGGAGCUCGCUCUAUGGGAGGAGGAGAGAUGGAUAUGCUGGAAGCAUCCGUCACGGCCCUGUUACGGCGUUUGCCCCGCCUGCCUCCGGGACCGGCUCCUGCUCCUGUGCCCGGACUGCGCUAACGUGCGCCCCUGCGGGUGCUCCCCACUCUCGUCGUCGUCGUCGGCGUCCUCGUUCUCCUCUCUCUACUCCGCCGUCCUCUUGAGAUCCAGCAGCGGCGACGCCGGGAUCGGGGCUGUAGGGCGGGUCUCGAACCUCAUCGAGAGCGAGCCGGCGUUCCGCCGGUCCGGACUUCCGGGGUUCCAGCUCCUGCGGUCGAGAUCGGUUGCCGCAGGGGAUGGCGGGCCCGGCGUUGUUUCUCGGCCGCGGGAGCGCCGGGGGCGUGGGUGGGGGGCGUUCUGGUCUUUCUCGAGGAGGAAGGUCGACGUGGGGGAGGAGGCGAGGAAACCGCCAGUGGUGAAGCUGUCGAGAUCGAGGUCGGUCGGGGUGGUGGCUUACCCGGAUUCCGACGGUGGCGGAGGGAGGGCGAAGGGGUGGGUGUGGCUUUUUCCAAGCCCGAUGAAGGCUUUCCGGCACCGGAAGUCGACGAAGGACGUCCAGCAGCGAUCGCCGCUCUCCCGGGGCUGAGAAGCGCGCCGGUCAUGAUGGCUGAUAAAAGGUUCCCAAAAAAGAAAAAAUAUAUAUAUAAUUUCAUCAGCUAUUUUUGCUAUAUACAUAUAUAUACUGUAAUAAAAUCUAAGAAUUUUGGCGACUAAUUAAAACUUUCUUGUUAUCGUAUGGCAAUUGGAAGAAAAUGGAAUUGUCGAGCGUCUGAUGUUCAUCAGAUGGUAACCAAUAGAUCGUUUCUGCUGCGGGGUUCUGAGGCGCAUACAUAUCCGUAGCAAUAAUUGGCGUAUCCUACGUUUGAUUUGGACCGUAGGAUACGAAAACGAUGCGGGAAAAGUUGGGUUAGGUUGGUAGCGAUGCUUCGAUCAUCUCACGUGCUGGGCGCGUCCGUCGUAGACUUGGUGCCGUCGUUUUGCUCUUUGGUCGUGCUCGCUUUUUCGGAUGCCGAUUGGGACCUUCGGCGGCCUCUUUCGGAAUCGCGAUAAUGCCACGCCUCAGGUUAUUAUUGCAGAUGUUGAUGUCACGUGGAGGGGAAUAUAGCUACGAAGUACAAACAUUCGCGUGUGCCCAUGUAUUCACGCCGUUAAAGUGGUUGAAGUUCACCAAAAAAUUUGAUAUUUUCGCUCCAUUUCCGAAGCACGCUCGCAAGAUCAUCGAGUGCAUAUGAUAGUUUACAUAAAAUAUUAAAAAAGAAAUUAAUGGUAAUUUUAUAUACAUACCCGCUCUUUUCUUUAGAUUCCACGCCUCCCGCUGGCUCUAUCGAGUUACAGUGAAAAAAUUAUAUCCUGUACCACAUUCACCACACCAAUCACAGUUCGUUUGUGUGAUGAUGCAGAAUGAGCGGCAGGGAUUAUUUUCGGAUUUUUUUGGUUAAAUUCUUCAAUCCUGAACGUUAAUUUGACGUUUUCAUCUUUAUAUCGAUAUUUGUGUAAGUAUGACCGGUCACCGAGGGGAGGAGGAUAAAGAAACGUCGUGAAAAGGUAAAAGUUGAGGGUUUUGUGAAACCUGACGUUGUUGUCGAAAGUACGGAGGCGUUUUGGUCAAGUGUGGCGGGCCCGCACGCAACACACUACGUGCGAUGUCUUUAUCCCGCAUGACGCCAACAAUUGGGGCCCGUUGGGUUAUUUUUUCACAUUUUGGGCCCUACUUCUUGGUUUUACGCAUGACAAACUUUCCCCAAUUCUUCAUGCCUCUCCUCCGGUUUUUCGGGCCAUGGCUUUUGACUUUCUAUUGCAACUAUGGUAGGUAGGAUGGAUAAAUCGGAUCCGAAAUAGUUUGAAAAAAAUGAAAAAAAUUUGGCUGGUUGUGAAUAUGAUUAUUAUGAUUGAAUUUUUUACUGCCACAUGCUUCCACCCAAUUCUCCUACUUGUAAUUUGUGUGAUGUAAAGUGCCCAAAUCCUACCUUGUUUAAAUUCAAAAAGAUUUGGCAGGAGGGCUUAGCCAUAAAUAAGUUAGCCUCCUCCAGCUCUAGGAAAUUACGGAUUUUUAUAGGUACAUAUGAUGAUGGUGAUUCAGUGUAACGCUUUAUAACAAUUAAGUGGCACGACGUGCAUAUCACAUGGUUGGUCCAGAUGCAUUGAUGGGUUGAUGUGGUUGAGUGAAGCCAAUGCUAUAAUGUCUUGCUAAUAAGUGUUGGACGUUUUGCAUGGCAUUGUGUGGCCCAGUAGUGCCUAUAGCACAAAGAGGGCCUUCCACUGUGGCCCACAACUUGGCCCAUGAAAUAUUAGUCUCUGUCAUGGGGUUUUUCAAAGGGAACCAAGGCUUUCCUAGAUAUCUUUUGUUGAUUAUAAAAUGUUAGGAACACAAUUAUUAAGAAAGAAGCGCCUCCUAGUAUCCCCUAGAGGUUACCCAAGGCUGUGAAACGGCUUUACAUCUAAUUCAGGGGCCUUAGUUUGUUUCUUAAGAUAAAUAUACCUACUCUUGUACCAAAAAAAGAUACAUACUUUCUUUUUUUUUUUGAGACUGGUUACAUUAUGAAGCAGUAAAAUAGAUAUAUCCACAAGCAUCCGAUACAAUCAAGUUAUAGAGACGCUGAGGUAGCUCAAAAGAAGACGCCCACAUCACUAUACCAGCACAAAAGAUGUCACCCAAUCGGCUGCAUUAUUGCUUAUAAACAUACCUAUUUAGGAUUACACUAUUUUUAGGUCUCUUUUGAGAGAUGUACAUCAUUUUCCUUAAGAAAAUAACAGAAAAGAGAAGUAAAUUUGAAGAAAAGAAAGAAAGGAAUUGAUGUGAAUGUGUGGAAAAAGUAGCUGUGACAAUGCAGUCAUAUACUAAUGGUGAUAACGCUUGCAAGUAUGAUAGCGACAUGGAUGGUAGAAGAGGAGAUGGCGGUAGUAGUCGUAGUUAGCACUAGCAAUUGGCAACAAUGAUGAUGGCAAAAGUAGUGGUUGUGGCAAACAUGGCGAAUGGUGGCCGGAAAGCUGCAAUUGCUCGGAAAGGCAUGUUUCGUGCAACGGUUUUAUACGUUUUCUUCAUUUUCCUCCCUCACCUAAAAAUAACUAAGAGAAUUAUAAUGCCCCCCUUUUUUUUCCCCUACAUAAACACCACAAUAUUUUAAUUUAUCUUAUAAUUGUUCUUUAUUUUCAUUCUUUUUGAGAUUUUCUUUACCUUGUAUCAAGUUUGACAAAGUAUUUGUACAAAUUGCAUCAAUGCGAAGUAGAAGUUAUAACAAAAUUCACCCGUUAAUUCAUAUUGCUAGAGGAAAUUUUUAGUCCUAUCAAUCUAACUUUACCAAUUAGUCAAGAUCUGAUCCAACUGAGUUGCAUCGAUUAUGUUAGUUCCUUAAUUCCAUGAUUGUGACCGGUGACAUCACUUAGUUUUACUGGUUCCAUGUUAUCUUGUUUUCAUGUUUCCUUCAUUCUUAACAAAGUGAGUAGGAUCCAAGUUACUAGAAUAGAAAAUCAGGACUAACAAUCAAAUGGUUAAUUAACACAUCAUUGGAGUAUAAACCAGCCAAAUUUAACCUAGUCACUUCUUGAGAGUAAAUCAUGCCUUCAAGAAUGAGACAUAUCCAAUCCAUUUUGGGUAGCNNNNNNNNNNNNNNNNNUACAACUUUAUUGGCUUGGCCAAAGUGCACCGUGCACCCUCUAUUUGCUAUGCUCAUUAACCUCUUCUUUUUUUCUUCUUUUUUUUUGAUAGGUCUUGCAGGGCACCUACUAAUAUCUUACUACUAAGGAACAAUAGGCCACUAAAAGUCUCUCUGAUAGUUGUGAAUAUUUAAUUAAAUCCUAAUAACCCAGCCAUCUCAGUGGAUGAUCAAGAAAAUGAUGAUCCUAGAUCAUGAUUUAUCUUUUAAAAAAUGGAAAGUGACGAAGAUUUGAGAUGAAUGCUUUUAGGCACUAAUUAAUUAUACAAAACAAGGAAUGCUUUUAGGCACCAAUUAAUUACACAAAAAGUUCCUCAGGCUUAUCAUUCAAUCUACUGCUCAUAUGCUCUAUCCAUUCUCACGGGUUGUGCCAAUCUUUUUGUGCUAUCUAACAAAAGGAACUUUCAAUGUAACAGCAACCACCAUCAUUUAUCGAAAUUCUUGUCGAUAUAAUAAACUAGGAUUAAUCUAGUAACAUUAAAAAUGAAAAAUCUCAAUUACAAUAUUAAUAUUUAAUGAGGCAUUCACUCGUUUUUGUCGAGAUAAUCAUAGUCAAAAUAUAUUGAUAUCAAAUUUUGGAAACUCGUCCUCCUUAUCUUCGAUACCCAUGGUGAGAAUUCUGCCGUCACUUUUUAUUUACCUCCGUUUGGUCCUUCUUUCCUAAGGAAGCCCAAACAAACAACCAGCAUAUAUUUACUCCGAACCCCCUCCCCAGCCGUAAAACCCAAACCAUCGACCGUACUCCUUCCGAAACUUGUCCUUUCUCCCCCUCCCUAUCAAUAAAACUCCAGGAAACAAAAGUCCAAAUGAUUUAAUCUCGUUAUUGAAAUAGAUAAGAGAGAGAGGGAGAUAGCUUAUCGUCAUGGGGGCGGAGGCGCAGGUGAUGAUGGAUCGGACGCUGGUGUUCACGUAUGGGACGCUGAAGCGGGGGUUCUCCAACCACGGGCUGAUCCAGGAGAUGAUCCGCAGCGGCGACGCGGCCUUCGUCGGCGUCGCACGCACCGCCGGCCGCCUCCCCCUCGUCUGCGGGCCCUACCGCGUGCCCUUCCUCCUCAACCUCCCCGGCGCCGGCGAGCGCGUCCGCGGCGAGCUGUACGCCGUCUCCCCCCGCGGCAUCGCCCGCAUGGACGACCUCGAGGGAACCUGCCGCGGCCACUACGAGCGCCUCCCCAUCUCCGUCGUCCUCCCCCGCCGCCGCCGCCGCCGAUCCGUCGGCACCGGCGGCGAAGGAGACGAAGAGGAGGAGGAAAACGGCGACGACGAGGUGAAGGAGGAGGCGGUGGCGUACUACGCGCACCGGAGCUACGCGGCGGAGCUGUGGAGGAGGAGCGGGCAGCGGGGGUUCGAGGCGUACUCGGAGAAGGAGGCGAGGGGAUACGUUAAGCGGAAGGACCGCCCGCAGGACACCACAUUCCUCGACCAGAUUCGGAGCUUCGUGGGCUCUCCUCCCCAAAAUUAGUCUGGACCUCUCUCUGCGCCUCCCUUCGUUGACCGAGAGCGCGAGAGUUCCGUGCUGCUGAUUCUUAUAUUUUUCCUCGUCUUUCUUGGAUCUGCUGUUCAUCAACCGUGUGUAUGAGAAAAAAUGUCUCCUGUUCUUGUGAUCAUAUGUACCCUUCUAAUUUCUUUAGAUAAUCAGGAAGGUUACAAUGUUUUUCUCGAGGAGGGCCCACUCCAUGUUUUUUUUUGCCUAUUUGGAAGAAAAUCGUAGUGGUGAUUGUGAAGCUCUUGUUAGAAUAUAGAGCAAACUAUGAUCUUGGCUUGUCAAUACAAUUUGGGUUCGUUGAUCAACGAGUAGUUUCUGGAUUUGAAUUCAGAUGAUAAAAUACUCCAUAUAUUUAUUAAAGAAAGCACAUAGUUUUCUUGAUGCACCUGAGAAGCACACCGCAAGAUGACGUCGCGGAGGCAUCCGGUUCAGCUUUAAAUGUCCUUGUGGCAUGCAUUGACAUCUUGUCGAACUAGUUUUCCAAAAUAUAUUUUUUAUAAUUUUUAUAAAAUAUGAUAUUUGUAAAAAUAAUGUUAUGAUAUUUGAUUCAUCAUGAAAAAAUAUCAUAUGAAUUAUGUUUGGUCAAAUGUCUACUUUUUUUAAAAAAAAUAUGUAAAAUAUUUAUUAUAUAUUUCAUAAAAAAAUCUUAUAUAUAAUAAUUACAAAAAGAUUCUAAAUUUCAAUCAGUAAAAAAUUAGUUUUUCAAUAUUUCGCGUGAAUUUUUUUCAUAAAAUAUAGAAAUCUUAUUCCAACAAAAAUGUUAUUUUUUUAUCGCUUUUCUUUGAAACUUUAAUCAAAUAAAAUUUUUUUCUCUAUUUACCUACUGAUCACUUUUUUUUGUUUCUUUUUUUCGCGAACCAAAUUAGUUCUAAAUUAUUAUUUUUUCUUAGUUGGCAGAAACCAUUAAAAGGUACAAGGAGGAAAAAAAAAAAAAAGACAAAUCAAGCUUCAAAGUAUGCAUGGAAUUUGGAUCAUACGAUAUGUAGAUCAAGAUAUAACAAAGGAAAAGACAAAUUUCUCUCUGAUACAAUUCCCUUUCCCCAUGUAAGUAUUCGGACUUUGGAUUAUAUGAUCUGGAGAUCGAGAUGUAAUAUAAAAAACUUCCCCGCCUAAAGUGUUUAGUUCUUGGACCAUAUGAUCCAUGGAUCAACGUAUAGGAAAAGAAAUGUAGAACUGAGAAGGAAAAUCGGAUAUUUACCCAAACCAAAAAAAAUGAAAAAGUGGAUUCUUUAAAAAUGAUUCUAUUUCCAGUCUCUUUUUUUUUUUCCUUCAAACCCUAACCCGAUCACGGUCGUAUGGAGCUCCCAUGUCUUCAAACCAACCUUGGCAAGUAAUCACUAUUUUUACCCAUCAUGGGUGUUGCUCCAAAUCUAGUCAGCCCUCCUGUCUGUAUCCCCGUUGUCCUAACCCAUCCAUCCAUCAAUCUCUCUCUUCUUUUUUUUUUUUGAAUGGACCUGUCUAUCAAUCUCUCAAAAGGACCCCAAAAUCUUCUUCUUCUUUUUCUUCUGCUUUUCUGAGUCAGCUCUGCCGACACUUGGUGGUGGCUCUACAACAGGAUGUAAGGUUAGCUUGUGACAUUAAAAUUUCCGACCAUUGUGUGGAGAGAUAGGCCACAAAUUUUGCCAGGCAAGUUGGCCAAUAAUUAACAGGAUUUGAUGCUGAUGGAGAAGAUAUAAUGCAAAGAAUGAUGUGAAUGGUUAACCUAAACUUCACUCAGGCCGGCAACGAUGUGUCGAUAUUACAGAGAGAGGGCGUGGGGUAAAGCCAUCUGCUAGAACAAAAACUGAUACCCCUUGAUGUGUAUCAGGAGUAUAAAUACAGCCAUCUUGAUGAUUAGAAACACAACUGCAUGCAGAAAAGAGGUCCAAAGUAACAUAUAUAUUACCUCAUGCAUAUUUCAAUUGGACAAUUCCUCGUCACUUUACAAAGUAUCAGACCGGCAAAGGAUAAUAUGAGGUGACAGCUUCAAAGGAACUGAAACAAAACAACAUCAAAUGACACCCAGAAGGGCCAAUAUUCCAAUAUAAAAGAAAUGGAGAAAAUAGGAACUGUUCUACUGAUCAAUUGAUUCAGAUUCCAUCAGCUGUUGGGUCCUGAAAAAUAGAAAUCUGUAAUGUGUCUCUUAUCAUUUUGCAAACUUGCAUAGCAACUACCUCUGCAAGAACUUAGAAGAAAUAAUUAGCACAUUAAUUACCAAAAUGGAGAAUGAUUGAUACCAAGACCAUUGCAGGUGAGUAUCAUUCCUUUGAACCUGGUAAGAUAUUCCUGAAUAAGGAAAAGUAAUAAUCAGAUCCAGAGAAUGCAAUUCCAUAAAAUCUUAGGGGGAAAAAAAUAAAAAUAAGCACAAAUCAAUGACCCAGAUCAUCAUUUUUGUUCGCGAUUCUUACUCUUAAAGUGUAUCUAUUGAUCUCAUAGGUGCCAGAUAUAUCAUACUCAAGUCGCUUAGCUGGAUCACUUAAUACUGCAGAAAAUAAAUUGUAAAAUUUAGUUUCAAACAUUUCAUAAUCAAAAUUUUCUAUGUGAUUUCAUAGCGCCAUACAAACUGAUCCAACAUUCUGAGUGUAUGUAAUCCCAAAGAAAAUACAAAAAAAGAAAAAAAUCAAAGCCAUUAAAUGUAUUAACCAAAAUCAGCCUUCAUCAUGAGAUGUAUGACCCACCAUCAUCUUCCAGAGAUGAUUUUACAGUUUCUAAGACAUUCUCCAACCAAAAAGAGGAAAAAAACAUCAGAAAUUCAUAGAAAUUACCCUUGUAAGCCUCGUUUAUUUCCUGAAACUUUGCCGUAACAGAACUAUUGCCUUUGUGCUUGUCAGGGUGCCACUUCUAGUCAUGGAUGAGAAAUAGAAUGCUGUAUUACUCUCCUUAGAAUUUCUAUAAUAAAAUGUUUUAUAGCAAAUGAUAAAAUAUUUGAAUAAGAAGCCUCUAGAUAACUCACAAGUGCAAGUCUUCGAUAAUUCAAUCUUAUGGUCUCAUCUGUUGCAUCAUAGUCAACCUCCAGAACUUUGUAGUGGUCCUGAAAGUAAAACAUUGCAUCCAGUUAGAGUUUGAUAUAGAAUAAACAAAGUUGGUCUGAUAUACACGGUGCUGCUGCAAAUACAAGGUACCAUGUCUAUCAUAAUGUUUAAUGAUACAAUUAUUUCUGAAAGAACAUGCUUAUUUCAUACAUAACAAAACUGUCUUUAAAAUGUUCCCAUCAAAAUAUUUAUGACCUUCCAGAGAUUGCAACCCUUUUUCAUCACACCCAACAGAACAAAUAAAAACACACAAGCCAUCCAACCCACUCCCAACAGGAAAAUGACACUUCAUUCUUUUCUCGUCUCUCUGGCUCUUUCUAUCUGUGUUGUGUUUGCGCGUGUGCAUGUGCGAUAUAUUUGGAAGGCUGAAACUGGGCUUGCUUAAUACAGAGACCUCUGAUUCUCAUAUUCAGCAUGUUUGUUAAACCUCUGAUUAUGAAUCUUUGGCUAUUGACAGUUGUCCCACCUUACAAGUUUGCAGUUUCUUGUACCCAACCAACAGGAAUUUUCCUCACUGGUACUUUUUGCAAAACCAGAACAAUGUUUCUCUUCUACAAUUCUUGCCUUCAUGCUUGAUAGUUAGUUCACACCUCUAAAUUCAAACUCCAAAAAUCCAAUCCAACCUCUUUCUUGCAUCUUUGGUUCUUCAAAUCGAUAGCUAAUGUCUAUGAGUAGAGAUAUACAUGUUUUCUCAUGCCACUUUAAUCAUAAAUCCACUCUCUCUCCAGAAUAACAUGUAAAUAUUAUCAGCAUGCAUCGGACUAAACCUUUUCUUCACGUAAAUCAUUAAUGUAGGAAGGAUUAAAACAUAUAGCACAAGGCAGCUUUUUCUGUGAUCCAGAAAUAACAGAUGAACGAGUUAUGUAUAUUAUUUACUAAUAAUAUUGUUUUAGACUGAUAAUAGCAUAACAUGAUACAUGCAGGAUUAGAUUUAAAGAGGAGAGGAGAUUUUUGAGACAUAGAAGACUAAAAAGAGCUAGAAUCAACCCAUAUAUUGAAUACAGUUUUAGCGGAUUUACAGAAAAAUGUCUUAUUCAAACUUACAGACUCAAAAUAGCUUUAUGUGGUCAUUUUAAUUAUUUGGAUCUGCUAUAUAGAAAAUGACAAGAUGGAUUUAGUAUCGGAAUUGAAAUAGAGAAGCACCGGUAGAGCAAAGAGGAGGUUCAGGGUGUUGUCUUCCAAAUACUUCAAGACCUAAAGAAAAAAGUUAUAGAUUUAUAGGUGAGUAUCCAGGACAGAGACCACACAUGAGUGUUGGAAACGAGUUUUUUCUCUUCUCUCUUUUUUAGUUCAGUGAUGGUUCAUCAAAAAUUGCCCAAGAUUAAUAGAUCGAGCACUGUUCCAGAGAUAAACAGAGGUGGAUGGUGGUCAUACAACAACAGGAUUGGAAAUCAAAAUACUGUUGAGAGCUAAAGAAGUACAAGAAAUAUUGGAAGGUAAGCUUAGAUAGUGUACACAUAUGAAAUGAAUACCUGUGGUGACCCUUGUGAUAAGAGGGACUUACUUGUGUUGAAGGUUUAACAAGGUGAGGACCUUGAUUACUUAGUUCAGCUAUCCUUCUAGAUGAAACGUGGAUCACCCAACAUAGUGUUCCGAUCAUUUUAGUAUAAGUGCUUCACCAAUUGGAGCUGCAAUUCUGAAAUUAUGAUUUGUUUCACAGUUUGAGCUUCUUUUGAUCAAGUGGCUGUUAACCAUGGACAAAAUCAAAUUCUAGACUUUAUGGCCCUUUGGUUUGGAACUGAAUCUGCAUAGCAUUUAGAUCUAAAUUUUGUUCAGAUAAAAAACAUUAUUCGAAUUAUAAGCUUUUUAGUAUAAUAAAAAAAAUGAUAUGCUAUUUUUAAGCUCGUCUUUCCCUCUUUCUUUUUUUUUUUUAAAAAAAAAAGAAAGGUCUGUUAUCCAUUUGGAUGUUCAAUGAAAUUCUCAAGUACAAUUAUUUGGUUUGAUGAAGAACUAUAUCAUCAUUAAGCUCCAUUUUCCUUAUGGAGGAAGUUAGAUUGAGGAAAAAGAAGUGGUAACUUUGUAGUUUGCAUCGAGCACUUAUACAUACCAUGCCACCGUCCAUUGCACAUCAAUCGUUAACUUUCUAUCUAACUUAAAACAAAUUAACUUUGCAGUUCAAUGUAAAGAAUCCCUGUUUAUUCCAUAAUUCAGUUUCAAGCUGCAUCAUCACAGUUCACUAAGCCUUGAGAUAACAUGCACAACAAGCAGUCGGCAUUUUGUAUCAGUUUAAGCAUGUAGACUAAGAGAAAUGCCAUGAGAUGCAUGAAGAAAAUUGGAAGAAAAUCAGCACAUGAAAAUAUUUUUUGAAACAGACAAUGUGGGAUACUUGAUCCUAUUGAUGGCUGACCAGCUUACCAAUGUGAUAUCUCCAAAAUAAGUGGGCAGAUACUAAGAAACAAAAGUCAGAGGGAUUAGGACCACUUUAGGUGGAUUUCGAAAUCCUAGACAUCUCAGCUUUGGAGAACCAAUAUCCUCCAUCUGGUCCUAUGACUUCACACUUCAUGCUUUUAUUUACACACAAAAAAGGAAGAUGUCUAAUGAACAGGGUGAAAAGGUGUCAGAUAGGGCGCUCUCGAUCUUUUAAACUAUGAGGAGCAUGCAACCAAAAAAAAAACAAUGAGACUGGAUAAUUAAAUACCAUUUUCGCUGGUUGAUGAUUUUUAGACAAAAAUGAGGAUUUGAGGAAGCAGGAAGCCAGUUUCAUAAAGAAGAGAAACUAUGAAACAAUGAUCCAUAAGCCAGCAACAUAAAGAUGGGAUGAGGUUUGUUUGUCUCCAUUACCAAUGCCUAGUGAAGUUUCAGCUUCCAGUCAAUGACCACACCGAGCACAUUAGACAAACAAGUUUUAAAAUCUCAUUCUUUAUCACUAUGCCUAAUUUGUGAUGUGCUAAGAUUAUUAGCAAUGGAACUAUAAAGCUCUCAGAUGCUUUGAUUGAACAAUAGCAAAUAGGCAAAGUCAAAAACACUUGAUCAAAUGUAUAGUUUUUGGUACUUUUCUCGGGAAAAUAUUUCUGAUGAAUGGUGCAUCAAACACUAUGCUUCGCGUUCCUGAUCACAGGAUAACUACUGGUUUGAAAGAAGCCCAGCAAAAUGCCAAAACAUCCCUCAGAGAGAGCAAAACAGAUAAAACCAUCCAAAGCAACAAGAAGUCACGCAAUCCAAGGAGACAUCGUUAUAAUUCAUCAAUCAGGCAUCUAAAUAAUUCAUCAAGAUCGUAGCUUUAUAUUUAUUUUUAAAAAAAACUCCCACUUAAUCUUAGCCCUCAUCCAAUCAAGAAUUCAUGCAUCCUCUCGUCCCAUCAUCCCAUCCCAAUCUCGCAAUCUACUCUAUAAUAAAAGAAAAGAUAUAAUGGGACAAAGAACCCUAAAAUCGAAUUCCACCAUCAAAAUGGCUAUCAAAUCUUGGAGAUUUUCAGAUGAGCGGAUUCGAGAAGCGCUUACCUUGUGAGAUUCCUCUCCGCCCUCCAUCCAAUGAAAAGAUUCCCGAGCUCCCGGAAUAGAAGGAACCGCUCACAUCCUUCAUCACAGGAAAUCUCCAGCUCUGGAUGCGAGUGGAUCGCCAAGAAAAGGAAAGAAAGAAAAGAGGAAGCGGUGAAAAGGGGUGCGAUCUCCGGCGGUUGAAGAAUCGGAGCCUUUGUCCGAAUUGGAUCCCUUCUUGGAUAAGAAUGUUUCAGCUCUCAAGACGUCCGGCUGGUGGGAUAGUAUUGUCCCUUGGUUUCCUUCGAUGGUCGGCAAGUGUUUGAUGAAUGGUCGAAGAGAAAUGCUAAUUAAUUAAUAGAUAACAUACAAGCAUGGUUGGCCGAGUCUAGCUAGGGACACGGCACACAAUAUUUUUCUUCUCUCUCUUUCCUUUUAGCAUGGGAGUUUACCACCCAUCCACCGCGCGCGCAUACCCAAAACCACCCCACUCCACCUGGGUUCGGGUUGUAUCAUCGCAUUGAUCUUUUUUUUUUUUGCCGCUAUAUCAACCGUUGGAUCGUGCUUCGAACAACUUCUACAGCACUGGAAUCUUACCCCUUUUUUUUUUUUGAUAAAUCGGCUACUCAUACAGCUCUGGCAUGAGCAUAGCCAGCUACAUUACUGGCAAAAAGACAACAUAAAGUAGAAGGAGAAGUCUACUAGGUUCAUAGAAAAUCUUCUAAAUAUUGAGCAGCAAAUGAGGCGAUCCAAUCUGCUCAAUUUGCCUUCUAUCUGCUGCAUGUAUCUCAAUUGUGCAAUCCAAUAAUUGAUGUUGCAAAUGAAGAGGCAUCAUUCCCUUACGUGAAAGAUACAACCGGAAUCCAGCCUAGGCUCUAAGAUACGACACGACAAAGCUCCAUAAAAUCGAAAUGGGACCGACCUUGCUUGGAAUCCUAUUCUCGCUUAUCCACAUGGUGGUCAUAUUAUCCACUUUAAUUGCCAUGAUUUUGAUGCACCUGAUAAUUUACUAUAGUGAGAAGUGAUCGGGAAAGAGAUUUACAUGCCAAAGCCUACUAUAUUAUCAAUGUGUGUCUGAUCCAUGGUUGUCUCGUUUUUGAACCUUGUAAAAUGAAGGGCAACCUUUGCGGUCUUUUGAACUUUCUUGCAGAAAACUACUCCUUGCAGCUAGAGAGGGAUUCUGAAUAAAUGAUUCCAUGACCUCUCUCUCCCUCGUGAGUGCUGAUUUUUUUUUAAAAAAGGUAAUGCAACUUGUUUCAUGUGUAUAUAUUUGUGAAUAUGCGUAUAUAUUUUUUCUCUCUAUUUUUUUUUAUCCAAAGUAUGCUAAAUCCAUCAAAAAUUUUAGUAUAUAUGUGUGUGUGUAUAUAUGCAUUUGUUAAUGUAUGUACGUAUUUAUCUAUGCAGUUGUUUUGAGCAAUGUUGAUCUAUUUUUUUGUCAAGCCAAAAUUGUCAUAGUAUUUGACAUUACUAAAAAUAUACUAUUAUCAUGAACCAUCAUAAUCGAGGUUAAAACUCAGUGUGCAAAGAGUCAAACAUAAUCCAUCGGUGCUUUGUAGCUUAAGAAAGCAAAAACCUUAUGGAAGAAAAAAAAAAUCUAUGAACAUGAACCCUAAGACCUUUAAUAUUUAGAAUCCUAUUGAGUCAUGAAAUUUCCUCAUGUUUGUGACCUAGAAGAUGGCCCAUGUUUGGAUAAAACCCAAGAGUACUAAUGAAUGGCCUGUGCAUUGAAGAUCCAACCAUUCUUUUUUUUUUCCUCAAUAUAUAUUGCACGUGCUAAUGCUAAUUUUAACUUGGCCAAAAAAGAGAGGUACUUUUUUUAUAGCAAUUUCUUUUAAAGUAUAUAUAAUAUCGUACUUUCUUGCAUUUAGGAAGAGAGACUUUUGUUUUUAUAUAGAAAUUUGGAGAGAAAGUGCUCAACAAAAUGACCCUUUAUAGAAAAUUUUUGGUUUUUCAAAAAGAACAAGAAAGUUUUAACCCAACAAAACCAUUAACCAUCAACUUACCGAGAAAUUCUUUUGCCUAAUUUUGUAGUAGCCAAGAAUGGUAAGCAAUAGCAAUCCUAGCAACAACAAAUAUUAUAAAUACUUUCUGAAAUAUAAAUAUUUUUUCUAAUAAUAAAUAAAUUGCAAAUAAAUCAUAUAAUAUAUCAUAUGCGAAUCAUUCGACCAACCUGCUUAUCCACAAUAAUGCAAAGAAUAAUUCAACCAAAAAAAAUAAAAUAAAAAAUUAAUUACAAAAAAGGUCCAAUGCUCGGAAGAAUAUCAGUCUCUUUUUUGCCACCAGCCCCUUACCCUUCCAUACCCAUGGAGGUCGGGUCCCAUCGAAAGAACGAUUCACCUUUUUUUUUCCGCGACAUCAACCGUUGGAUCGCGUAAUGGUCGCUUCGGAUCUAUGCGGGCGGAUGCAAGAAGUGGUUUGGACUGCUUUGAGAGCUGUGCGAGACGCGAUUCAACGGUUGACGCCGCGAAGAAGAUUAAUCAUUCUUGCCACCAAGAUGGUAGCCUAGUGGUAAUUCUAACCUCAUGGUCCCAAGUUCGAGUCGCUGCGGCGACGAUUAAAAUGUGGCUUGGGCCACUGCUUGGACAUGAGGUAUAGGACCGCUCUUGGACCGCUAGUAGCGGGGUGAUGCCAGGUGUGAUGUACUCACACUUGGAACUCGAGCCAGAGCCCAGAGGGAUAGCUGAGCCGGGCUCAUAGGUGGGGAAGGCAUGAGUAAAACCGGUUGGGGUGCCCAACAUACGGCCAUUUCUGCCGGCACGCGGGGGUGGGCUUGUCCCUUCAUCCCUCCUACCCCUUUUGUUUAGAAAAAAAAAAAAAAAAGAAGAAAGAAAGAAAAGAAGAAGAAGAAGACGACGACGACGACGCAACCCGAACCCUCAUCCCCCCGGUCACUGGAUUUCCUGGCCCCCGCCCACCUUGACCCGCUUCCAGAUACGGGUCAAAACGUCCGCUCAUCUUGCGCUCAGCCCCUAUGGAUCCAUCCAUCUCCGCCGUCCGUCAGCCGAACCCACCGUCAGAUCUCUACAGGAUUCGCACAAAUCCCACCUCAAGUGGGGGGUCCGCUACCUCUCCCUCUCGCUCGUAAACCAUCCCCAAAACCUCAGGCGGGGUGUACGCGUCCCGGCCCUCGCCCGCCCCUCCCGGCGCCGCAUUCCAGAACCCUAUAACCGGUGGCGCCAUGAACGGACCUGGCGUCGGGCUCGAAGACGGAUUCCCCGCGGGGCGCCUCUUCUCUCUGGGCGUCUCCUACACCUAUGACGACGUGAUCCUCCUCCCCCACUGCAUCGACUUCCCCGCCGACGCUGUCGACCUUUCCACCCGACUCUCACGCCGCGUCCUCCUCUCCAUUAGUCAGUAAAACCAUGUCCAGAUAUUUUAUCAUUUAGCCGAGCAUCAGCCGCUGAGAUUUUCAGAAAAUCUUAUCAUCUGUGAAUUGUUCUACAGGUCACGAAAACAAAAAAAGGAUUGUCUUAUGGUGAAACGGAAUCUCCCAGCGAGGGCGGUCUCUGAAACCAAAGGGCCUCAUCCCAAACUUCCCAUUAGACAACGUAUCGUAUGAUAAUGUGUCGUAUAUCUAGAUGUGGAAUCAGCUGCUAUUUGACUAGUUUAUCGCUACUUCCUUUGAAGUAUCGGUAGCGUGUACCGUGUAUCUACUAUCCUGCAUAGUAGGUUCAGCACAUUUAGAACAUGCAUGAAAAAAAAAAUGAAAUAAAAGAAAAAACACAUUUUAGUAGCUUUCGUGAUCCCCACGCUGUAAGUUUAUUUUCUUUUAUUAUAUUUACCUAUUAUUGAGAUAUGUCCAUUCUAUUCAGUUUUAUGGGUUGGAGUUAAUAAAUUAACCAUAAGAAAUAUAGUACUUUUGUUUUAUUAGGAGUUAGGGCGACCAAAAUUUUAAUUUUAGUCUAACAAUCAUGCUGGCUACUGGUGGUUGGUGGGGUCUUUUGUAUUACCUAGCCUGUAGCUAAACUUAAAAAUUAAAAGCAACAAUGAUAAUAGCUGAAAAUGAAUCAGAUGCAGAUUCGAUAUUAGUAUAUUCAUAUCAAUAUUUAUUUUAUUUGACUAAUAUAGAUACGGAUAUUAGUCGGAUGCAAAAAUUUAUAUCCAUAUUUUAUUUAAACAGAUAUAGAUACAAACCGAAUAUCUAAAAUACAGAUAUAAAUAUGAAUAUAAUUCGGAUAGUUAUACUUUAUGAUCACAGCAUCAAAGAUAUUACUAUGUAGAUGAUAAAUUAAGUUAAUAUUAUGUUAAUGUGGUUAUUUUUUUUAAAAAAAAUUAUGGAUGCUAUAUAAAAUUAAAUAUAAUUAUAAAUAAAAUUAGAUAUUUACAUAUGGAUUGAAUAAUUGCUUAUUUAUACCUAUAUUUUUUUUUUUUGAUAGAUGUGAUAGGAAUAUGAUACGAGUCGGAUAGCUUUAGAUACGAUAAUAAAUUCUGACGGAUAUUAUUCUAUCCACUUCGGCCCCUACAAUUGCUGCACAACAACAACAUUCCUACCGUACUUCAUAUCCUGGCUGUUAAAGGAAACCAGUUUGAUUUAUGCGUUUUGCUUUCUUUUUCGUUCCUCUCGUAAGCUUUAAUUCCCAUGCGGAAGGAAGGGAGAGAAUCUCCCUCGCUGCUCCCUGGACCGAAGAGCUACAUUAACCGGAUGCUGAUGAAGUGCCGGCUGUUUCUUUUGGCAGUUUUCAUCAACUUAUUUCAGCUAAGAAGAACCAGCAUUUUAUGACGCUACACUAGAUAAUAAGCAUACCAUCUUUCAUUCUAAGAAUAUUAUAUACUUAGAUUACAGUCAAUUUAGCUUGGGCUCAAUGCGAAACAAUCAACUCCAAGAUCAUCGUACUGCUAAUGCUUUGGACUUCCACACAUGCACGCUUACCACGGGCCACUCAUAGCCACGCUUAUUUUAUGCUACUGUCGAUUGAAGAAGAGAGGACCCUUUGUAGUAGUGCUAGAAGGCCAACCUCAAGGGAGGUAGCCACCAUGCACUCCGGCAUACCCACCUCCGGCGCCACUCCCACCGCCAGCACCACCUCCAUGCCCUCCAGCUCCUCCAUAACCGGCACCUCCACCACCGCCACUCCCUCCUCCGCCACCGUACCCGCCGCCAUGCUCUCCUCCAUCGCCAUAGCCCUCACCACCUCCGGCUCCACCACCACUCCCAUAACCACCUCCAUGCCCUGCCCCAGCUCCACCGCCAUAGCCACCCCCACCACCACUUCCACCACCGCCGCCAUAUCCCCCACCAUGCUCUCCCCCAGCUCCAUACCCUGCACCACCACCGGAACCCCCGCCUGCACCAUAGCCUCCACCCUGUGCUCCUCCAGCACCAGAGCCGCCGCCACCACCACUACCACCGCCGCCGCCGCCUCCAUAUCCACCACCAUGCUCUCCGCCGGAACCGUACCCACCUCCACUGCCGCUACCACCUCCGCUUCCGUAGCCUAAUCCGUGAUCUCCUCCAGCGGCACCAUAACCACCGCCUCCUCCACUACCACCACCAGAGCCACCAUACUCCCCUACUCCAUACCCAGCUCCGCCGCCACUUCCACCACCACUCCCAUAACCAACUCCAUGCUCUCCAGCUGCACCAUAGCCGGCCCCGCUUCCGCCACCCCCUCCACCAGCAUAACCUCCAGCGACUGCAACUCCACCUCCGGCUCCAUAGCCGGCACCGCUACCAAUGCCGUGGCCAGCACCAUAAUUUCCUGCCUCUAGAUUCAACAAGGCUCUAGUGGCUGAGCAUAUUGUCGCACCCAGCAGCACUAACAGUGCGACCGUACUUACAACUCUUCCAGUGCUAGUACCCAUGAAGGGACGUCUGUGUCAUGGGAUGGAGGGAGAAGAGUUGCGGGUAUUUAUAGGGUUUGGGGGUGGGUGGGUGGGUUUGGAAGUGGCUGAAGGCACAUGGGAAGGGGUAAGGUUUGUACGCCUAUUGGAGUGACCCGGCCGACAGAUUCUCCCCAGUGUUGCGCUUCCUCUGGCCUGCACAAUCUUCUCGGGAUCUCCAUUCCAUGGCCAACUUUUCCUUAUCUUGGAGGGUGUCAUGCGAAACUCUUUCACACCACCAACAAAUUGCCUACUAGUAAAGACUCUGAGCAUGCAGUCAGCGCUAUCACAUAUAUGAUCUCAUGUAGCAGCUUUGGAUGCCUGAUUUUGGAUCACACAAGUUGCGUCGUACCAGAAAACCAUGGCAUCUGCCCACUGUAGGCGUGACCAGAAGCUGCAUUAGCUCGGUACUGUAACUCUGUAAGCAUGUCUAUUCUAACUAUAAAUGGUCUCUCAGUAUGUGCGAUAAUAAAGAACUUGGUCUAGUGCAAGCUUAAUUUUCAUAUUGUUUUGAGAAAAGGACGAUGAUCAACAGAGAUCCUAUACUUAGUUACUCAUAAAAGCUUUCUAGAGAUCCUAGGGAAAAUGCAAGCUUAAUUUUCAUAUUGUUUGAGAAAAGUAACUAAGUUUAAGGUCUGUUGAGUUUGGCAUUUUACGUACCCAGCUCUAAUAUAGUCUUGCAUACAACAAAGAGCAACCUGUCAAAGAAGUUCUCGAAAAUGGCUAAUGAUCAGGAUACCCGGCCCAAGACUCGCCAAACCCACAUAGUCAUGAAAUUCUUCAAUCUUGUAGCUUAACAUAAGUGUGAGUUGCUAUCUGAUAAUGCUAUUGCUAUUUGGUAUGCAAACUUUCUUCCAUAUCUACAAGCUUAUGGUAUAUCGAGACUCGAGAGUUUUGAGUUUAACACUUUAAUCGUCUUAUAUUGAGGUAGUUAUAUUUAGCUUAGCAUAUUAAAUACUGUUAAAAUAUAUAACAGCACGGAGCAUGAACCACAACCACAAAUAACGGGCUGCAGUCCCAUCAAUGAAUUGCUUCGCCGAAUGGCACCAGCUACAAUCCAAUCUGGACCCAUGAGAAAGAAACCCUCGAUUCAUUUCAACACCAUCCUUGAUGCUCCCCAACGCGCUAAGAAUCACGCGCGCGCGUGCCUCUUCUAAGUGCUACCACGCGUAUCCUUGGUGCGCGCGCCUGGUUUCGGCAUUACAUCAAAUUUCAGCAUUCCUUUUAUUUUGAGGCAAAAGGUUUGGCUUUAAGCCUUUAACCCACCAAUGCGCUCGUACCACCACAUCCACAGCUUUCCAAGUGGGCCGGGAUGCUGGUGAUGGAUGCUUUUCUCUUCUUAGUGUGGGUACGAUCCAUGUGCUUUGUUUGUUCCAACUGCGGUUCUGCGACUAGCAACCAUUCCGCUGCGUUGCCUGCAUUGGCGCGCAGAAAAGAAGACUAGGCGGUACUAUAGAUGGCGAGACCAAACGAUGCAGCUCCUCUAGGCUCUAAAUUGCUGUAGACGUCGGGCAGAGCUUUGUGCAAACCUCUUUGAGAUAGCAUGAAAGCCAGAUCUGCUUUGCCGACGAUGGUUGGCUCAGCGAGACCUGACUAUUUCCGACGAGGAUCGGUGGGACGAGGUUUUGAUCAGGAAGGCUUUCAAAGUGCAGUUAGCUGAGAGGGUACAUGCCAUUCUGCUACUUCAGAGAGCAUUAGAUAGACAGGUUUGGGUGGCGUGCUGAAUCUUGCUUGCUGAAUUAUCCAUGGGGUACCAUUCCUUACCAUUUUGUCAUCAGUAGUUGCAACUAUGAUGAUUUAUUGACCCUUUAACCGUUCUGAUGCCAUCUAGUAAUCUAGGCACAUUUUUGAAGCUUGAAAUUAGUUUGUUUUCUGCCUUUGGUAUAAGCCCUACUCGGGUUUUUAAGUUUUCUAGCCUUAGAUGCAGCAUGAUAGUCAUAGCUGCUGUGCGUUUCUUGUGCUGCAAAAUAAUUUGAAGCUAUCUUGGUGCUUAAAAUUUUGUUGCAUUGAUCCAGAUUAAAUAAAAAAUUCCCGUAUCUCAUGCUCUAUUUUCUUUUUUUAAAAAAAGAGCGUACUUGGUGCCCAGGAAGGAAAGCUUGACACGUAACCUUGUUCGUCCUGUUUUCAUCAAGAGGAUGCCCAUGAAUUCGCUUGUGGUCUGCUAGAUAGCUUGCAUGGCUGCUGUCUUGACCCCAGCUUGAAGGACCAGGGCCAGCCACCUUGGCACCUUCAUUAUAGAAAAGGCAUCCUUGUCGAGCAGGUUUUUGGAGGCCGUCGUCCCAGAAGCCAGGUAACCGCUGCCUGUUAAGUCAUCCCUUUCCACCAGAUACAGAAAUCCAAUUUCCACCUGAAAUCCCAGUUUCCUGUUAUCUCCGUUUUUUUUAAUGUCAUAACUGUUCCAUUGAUUCAGCUGCGAUGCUGUGACUGUGGUCGCUGUCCGGAAGCCAUGUUCAACAUCUGGAGGCUGCACAAGGAUCAGGUGUCGAUGGAGAAGCAACAAGCUCCACAAGUUGUUGCGCUUCAAGUGACCUCAAGUCAAGACCAAGAUAACGGAUAAGUUUGUGGGGUAUCCGUUGGAGCUAGACUUGAAGCCUUUUCUUAGCUGCCAGGCGGAUGGAGUAGGCAUUCCUUCUGCUCCCAAUUUGUGCCUGGACAUUAUUAUUAAGCUACCGCUCGUUCAUCUCCAACAGCAUGGUACCUAACGGAUGAUUCUAGAGCAAGUGUGCUUCCACCAUUUUAUUUAUUUCUUAUGAUUCUAAUGAUUCCAUGUCCACUGCAGGUCGCCAGAGUUUCUGAAGCAUGUAUUUAAGAAAGCAGCCUUCAUCCUUUUCGAUACAAAAGCAGGGAUCCUCAUCCUGGCUUUCAACUUUAAUGGAGGCACACAACAUAAAUAACAUUAAAUGACUAAACAACUGCAACUUUUCAGGCAUGGUUGCUGGAAAGAAAUUUGCCGAGUUCAGAAAUACAAGUCCCAAACUUCUUAGAGCUUUAACAAAUAUGUUGUCCAAAUGCCACAAACACUCUCCUAAGGGUUCUACAGCCCCAAACGUUUCCACUAUUACAAAAGUAGGUCAUGCACAGCACCAGGAAAGAUGAACAAUGUAUCUCCGUGAAAAAAUUACGAGAUAAAUUUACGACAGUAGGCUAGCAAGCUCCCCCGAUGUCGAGAUUGAUCCAGUCUUCGAAUAACUGUUCCUUAAACACGUAUAUGAAUUUGACCUCACGAACCACACUCAAAGGAUUCUAUCCUGAAGAUCAUUGAUAAGACUGGAAGCUAAAGAUGUCAACCUUUUCCCAGUCUCCCCAGCUAUGGUCUUGAGGGAGGAUAUAUCCUCUGAAGCCUGAGAAACACAAGGAAGAUAUUGAAGCAAUCAUAUGGAAAAAAACACAUCACAAAAAACUUAGCCAUUUAUAAAUAAAUUUUGGUCCUACACUCAAGCCAUCAAAUUUGAUGGUUUGCUUCUCAAGAAAUAAUUAAGGUUGUAAGGGCAGUCAAUGCAGUCGCAGUUUGCAAGCACAGAUGAUGAACAAAAAUUAAAGAUCAUUCAUCACCCCUCAUGUUCAACCAUCUCAAAACUCUCAACGAAAAUGAUCUUGGUGCACAUUUCUGACGUUGACCUAGCAAGUGGAAUCUUCUGGAACUGAUUAAUCAGCAUAUAACAUCCCAUGUUCAGGAAAGUACCUGGAAGGAGAUUCGGUUGAUAAGGUCCGCUGCAGUAAGGUCAAGUCGAGAAUCAUCCAUUUCAUGACCAAAAAUAUCGGCACUAGAAAUGGAAGUUGACCCCUACAUAGAGGAAAGUUAAAAGUGAGUGGCUUUUGAACAGCAAUCCAACUUUAUUAGUUAGCAAGGCAAAUUAAAUAUCAAUAAUCGGAACUUGAUAGUUGAAGAAAUCAAGAUUUUAAAUCCCAUGAGACAGGGCCAUCAAGGUAUUUCUAUAGAAUGGGACACACCACCAUCCACGUCCCGACAGUUGGGACAAGAGAUGUCCCAAGACAUAUUGGGAUGUUGGGACGAUGGUAGGACGAUUCUAUCCCAGCAUCCCGCAGGAUGUACUAUCGGGAUUUGAAACCAUGGAAAAGAUAGCAUCCAACUCACAUAUGAUUCUUCCCAACCAUCCACACAACACAGUGCAAUAAAAUUAUCAACAUAUGGAGCUCUAGAGAUGAGAAACAGAACUCAACACAAAUCACGAUGAAGAACUACUAUAUGCAUUUAAGUAAAACUCAACAGCCUAUGAGUUUAGGAAAAUGCUUUCCGAUUCCAUAACCAUGCGAAUCUACAAGUAACACUUUUGUGGUGCUUCCCUAUUUGUUCGAGACGGUCUCUUGGACCAUACUUGUCAGGCCCUGACAAGUGAGUGCACUAGCCCCAUUUUCACAUAGUUAAAGUGGAGUCACAUAUGUUGCUGAGCUAGCAUUAAUCAUGGUAGUAGGAUACGUGAAAUGCAUGAGAGAGACAUCAUGGAUGGCUGCAAACUUGUGGAGCCCUGGAACCACCAAGCAACCAAAAACUAAUAAAGUAUGGAGUCAUGCUGGAUCCCUGUCACUGUAUGGGGCCCAUGAGUGGUCAUGCUCCCACAAAAACAGGGAUUCUUUUGGAAUUCUUUUAGCUGAAGUUGAUUCUUUUAGAACUGAUGAAGGGAUGGUUUGAAAACCGGCGGAGUUGUAUCACUCUGCCCCGUGCAUGAAGAACAUCACAUCUACAUAUCAGAUUCUAGUAAGGGUUUAUGACAACAGCUAGAGUGCAUACUGAGAACUUUUGCAGGGAGAUUUGAGCCUCCAUAUCAGCAUCUUUGUUCUGAUCACCAAAGAAUUGGGCUGAUGAAAUUGACUUUGCGUUUGAGAAUUUCUGCCUUGCUUCAUCACUUUCCUGGAUCUGAUGAUCAUGAUGAGAGUUAAAACAAACAAACAAACAAACUCGGAGCUUAGACAUUCGAUAACAAGAUCAAGUGCUACAUGAUUUGGCAUCCCUACUAUAGAGUUGUCCACUGCAUAAAACCAAAAGAUCCCAGGAACUACCCUUAAUGUCACCUUUUCCUGGGAUCUGUUGCAGUAUCAGUUUUAUGCAGACUUAUCAUGCAUAAAUAUGAACAAAGUCAUCAUCCAUUAAUGUAGCCUUUUCCUCAUGUUUACCACCACAGUUAUCCCACUUUAAAAAAAUGUCAAGAUAGAGAGGAAAAACCAAUGAUGACACCAAAAACCUUGCAAAAAUAAUUGAUUUAAAAUAGGACGAGAAAAUAAAUUCGAUUAAGCCAAUAAAAUAACUUCUCUUGAAGUUCUUUAUAUGUUUCCACCAUGCUAACCAGUGGAUAAACUACAAAAAAAUGCUUUAGUAACCCAGAAAUGUAACUCAAAACAUCACUCAGUUGGUGUGUUGUCAUUCCAUUGCUCCCUUUGUACUUGCAUUGUGAAUUGUGCCAAAUAAUGAAGCCACAUGAUUGGUGGAAGAUAGGUGAGUGACUUUUUUUUAAGUGAUUUUUCUGAGUUACCAUAGCAUUGCUCUAAACUAUAUAACAUUGCCUAGCAAGCCACUAUGACUUCAAGUAUCUGACACGAGAGAAAUGCAUACAGAAAGAGAUGCAAACAUAAUGUUUGCAAUUCCACAGAUAUUAUACACUAAAUCCACAGAUGUCAUACACCAAAAUGUCAAAACGCAUCCACCUUGAUAUCAACCUUGGCAAAAAUUAUCCUGACAUGAGCAUAUACAAUAUGGUUGUGUUUCUUCAACAGCAUCAAAUAUGAAGCUGUAGGCUUUGGUCCAUUAAAAAAUGAACUUUGUCCAACAUGGAAAACAAAUUCAUGCUAGCCAAUGUGGCAAAUAGUUGAUUAUGCACCAAAAUGAUAAAGGGGGGAGGGAUCCAAAGUUAUCGUACGAACAUUAGCAGAAUGAGCUUGUUAAGAGCAAUGUUUUCAUUAUGUAAAACAUGGAUAAACAGUACAUGAUGAAAAUUUGGUGGCUAUGUCCAUAAACACAUGCUUGACAACACAGGAUGACUUAAAUAUCUCGAAAUUUAAUAUAUCAAAAACUAAGCAACAGUAACCAAAUAACCAAUAAAAUUUACAGAACAUCCAUAAUUGGUCAUUAUUGCUAACUUACAUUUUUGACAUACAUCAUUUGCCCAUUCUUCUUUAUUUCUAUACUAAUUUAAAUAAGAAAUUAGCUCAUGAUUUGUUAAACUGAACUGAAUUGGUUUGUCGAGGUGUGCUGGCUAUAAAUAGUCAUAGGCUUCAUAAUUGUGCGAUUGCAUUCAGUACAAAUUCGAUUUAUUGUGUAAUUAAAUUAGAAAUAAGUUCACUUUCUUUCUCACAUAAUUAUAUGCAACCAAUAAUUUAAACAUAGUUUUCUUUUUGUUGCAACAAGUUCAUCAGUUUUCGAGCAGCACGUGGUAAUAUCUCCUAGGGAUUACGAAUUAGAAUAAAAAAACCACUACAUGGUAACUCUGAUCACAAAUUGAAAUGGUAACUUUUGGUAGUUAAAGUAACAUCACAAUUAUAGACUAUAUGAAUAACCAUAAGUUUAAGGACAUAAAAAUCAUAGAAGCCAACAAAGAUAUUAUACGUGACUGGGAAUACAGGAAAGCAACAUGACUCCAUCAUAUGGCGUGUGAAAGGUCACAUGUUGAAGCAGAAAUUAAACAGGAAGUUUGCCAUAGUUAAAUCCACAUGCAAAAUAAAAGCAUGAUCACUUUAAUGAGAAAUCUUUUAAAAUAUAACUUUACCUGUGCUUUUGACGAAUUGGAGCUUGAUUUUUUCUGAAAUCCACUAUCCAUUCCAAACUCUGCAAAGAAAUUUGAAGAUUUUGGUGGUGCAACAUGACUGAUCACUUGAGCACCUCCCGAACUGGUCUCAUCAGAUGGUAUGGUUUCCACAUACUCAAAUCGAGAAGGAAAAGAUGGGCCAUGUGUUGUGUUGGAAUUUGCCAAGGAUGUUACAGCAGGUGCCGGUUCUUCGGGCUUCUGGUCAUAAAGACUGUCGCUUGGCUGCAAAUUAAAUGAUUAGCAAAGUUAAAAUGGUCACUGCUCACUUCUUCAUCAUGCCUAGAAAGGAUAAGACUAAACAUCAUAAAUUUUGAGAAAAUGUUAGAAGGCAAAUAUGGAGGCUCCACAACUGCCUGAUGAUAUAAAGUCCAACAAGAUGGGGAAAGAUAAACAAAUGGAGGCUGCUACCACAGACAUUUCGAUAGCCACCCUUAGGAACCGACCAAAACACCACAAUCAAACCAUAGUCAAACUCUGUAAAGUUCCUCAGACUUCAUUUAUUUUUUAUUUAUGAUUGUUAGAAUGAGUAAGCACAAAUUUACCUUUGUUGUAAGUCUUCGGACGCCAAGCCCCCCAGCCUUGCUUCCUGUCCUCUUCGCACCAAUGGGCUUUUUAACAGCACUUAUAACUGUAGAAUGAGUAGGAGCCUUAGGUGACCGAGUAAUCUUAGACUCAUGUUUCUCAUUUAAAUUUUCCUUUGACGCAUCCACAAGUUUAAGUUCAGGAAGACCAUUAGCUGCAUCUGGCGACUGGGAUGCUGCAAUCGGGGAGGAAGGCAAGCCACUAUCUUCUGUAAUGCUUUUAGCAACCUCUUUGGAAAGUAUCUGCCUGUACAACUCAGCAGCUCUUGAUGUAUAUUUUGCCUCAAUUUUGCCACCAUCUGUCCAUCCGUGCUGCUUAAAGAAAACCUGUGCACGGUUGUUGCCCCCAAAAGCCAUCAUCUUCAGCUGCUCCGGAGUCCAUGAGUCUAAAUUUGUGGACCUAGAAAUCAAGGAAGCAAAACUCUUGAGUAAUCUAUAUAACAACUCCCGAAAGACCCAUUCAAGAUCAGGUUAUAUAUUAAAAAAAAUUGAUUUAAGUUAUAAUACAACUGUAGCCUCCAAAACAUAAAUAACAUAAAUAUAUCAAAAAGGGCUAAGUGAGAAGAAAAAAAAAUAAAGAACAAAAGAGAAGUGAUGAGAUACUUCUUGUAUGGUAACUACAACAGGUUUUGUAAGUCAAACUCAACCCGACCUGAUCACUAUAUUACAGUUAUAACAUUAAUAGAUAAUUGCAGCUCAGCUGCAAGAGCUCUUGCCAAUUAAAGGAAGAAGUAUGAACAUAAUGUAAUACCAAGCAUGUCUAUCUUACCUGCUACCAGAAGAUUCCUUUCCAGUGACAUGAUUAUUAACCAAUCUAUCUGAUUAAUAUUUGUCUUCCAGUGAUGUGUCUAAGUUCAAGCUCAUAUUUCUGACAACCUUAAAAAAUUAUUGACACCAGUGCACUUCAGAAAGUAACACAGUUCCUUCCAAAUUUAUAAUUCAAUGAAGUCACACUUCAUUAUUAUCUAAUCUAUCAUUCAACAGAAGAUGUCAGCAGUCAGAGAAUUUUUUGCCUUACUUCAUAAGAAUUUUUUUCUCCCAUGGUUCUGAUACAGAUAAGCUAUAAAUACAAACAGCAGGCCAUGUAAAAGGUAUACUGGCACAACUAAAAGCUCUCGAAUCAUUAUCAUCAACUGUGAUAACCUACAUCAUAUUCUUUGCCAGGCAAUUAUCAUCAAUUAGAAGUCAUCUCCAGUCCAUUUACCUAUCACAAAAAUCAUUGUCAAGCUUCUUUAUACUUAAUGACCACACUAAAAGAAUCCUUCAUUUUGAAGAAUUAAAGCAUGCCUUUGCCAUCACAUAUCAAAAGAUAGAAAAAUGUGGAGUACAUGACAAUGCUAAAUUAAUUGAAGGGAGAUUUGUUACCAUGGUAUAUAUUCAUUUGCACUUGUUCUCAUAUUUUAUCGCCUUCUCAUAUUGUAUGUUAUGAUUUGUGCAUGCAAAUUACUCGCAUUAAUCAUAUGAUUGUUUUUUAUUCAUUGCAUGGUUCCCUAUAGCUUAAAUCUCAAAACUUGAGCAUAUUUACCUGGUUAUAAUUAGUGUGGCAGAAGAAAUUGGUCAGCACAUCCAUCCCUAGCUGGUGCUUUCUGUCAUGCAAAACACCAAUCUAGAUACGCUGCUCUAGAUUUUAUAUGCAAAACUAGUUUUUAGGAAUAUAUCUACAAAGAAAGAAGCCCCUUUUGCUGCACUACAUUAUCAAACCCAACUGGAAAUAUUCCCCAAGUCUAAAAAAAUUUCAAAGCAAAAGCCCUUUAAACCGCUAUGUCAAUAAUAGACUUCCAGCAAGCAUAAUGCUCACUCUUUCUUUCUUGCUUCUCUACAUCCUUCUAUUAUAAGCAUCAGAUCUGUGACUUCGAUCAUGUUGCCACAAGCUUGCAUCCAUCCAACAACCUAAAAGUUCAAGACCGAGGCUUCAUUUUUCUUUUUCUUUUUUUACAAAAUAUCAACCUGGUUUUGAUAACUUAGCUAGACAAAGCAAAAUUUCACCACCUAUGAACUGGCCUCUUCUGUAUUCUACAGAUUAUAACACGACCUGCAAGAAUGUUUGUAUGCAGAAUAUACUUUGUUCAAUUAAAGAAUCAAAAUAUGCCUUGUAGUUUGCCCUACACUUCCCAAAAGUUGAAUUCUGUACUAUGAAUUUCAGUGUAUUCUAAACUUCUCUCGCAUACAGCUCAGUGGAUGGCGGUUUCCACCCAGAGGAAUCCAAAAAGCAGCUAGCUAGCAAGAAUUCUAUUAACAUCUGAUAGCUUGAUCUCAAUUUCCAUUGAAGGGAUGUGAAUGUUACCAUAUAGUCAUUAAAAUUGCGUUUGGGAUUACCGAUCACCAGCUGCAUCUUCUCAUGUAUAUAAUUUCAAAAUUACUUGGCUUAAGGAUUCGAACCUCUUCAACUAAACCAAAAAGAAAAAAACUGGCAUAAAGGUUCGCAAUAAUAGCAACACAAUCGAUUCAGGGUUUUGAAAGGGAAAUUCAUGAAAUUCAGAAAUUGCCUGCAAAUUAAUCGGAGAAAAACCUAAUUGAACCGCAAAAACAGGAAGGGAAACCUAAGGUAGCCUCCAUCGAGAGAAAAAGAAAAGAAAAGAAAGAAAAAAACAACCAUCCCAUACCUCACGAAACUAAUGUGCACGCCGAGGCUCCGGUGGACGGCCGAGCAGUCAAUGCAGAGGAAGAUCCCGUACGUCACCGACGCCCACGUAGGGUUCCUGGCGUUACAAUCAAAGCACAUCUGAGACGAAAAGAUCCACCGUCAGAAGCGAUCAGAUCUGGAGGAUACCGUCGGGAUCUGGAGUUCCCGCACCAGAUCCUCAAAGCCUAAUCGAUUUCCAGGAGAAGAAGCGGUCGAAAUUAAGGUGCAACAAACCAGAAUCUAUAAGGGUAAACCUGAGACUGAUUCCCAUAAAAGAAACAAAAGAAAGACCAAGAAGAAUAAUAAGAAGAAAGAAAGAGAGAAAAAAGCUUGAAAAGAUUACCUUGUUCUCCGACUUAGAUUUGAGCUUUUUGAAAACAGCGUUCUUGUCGGUGAAGCUUUCGGAAGCCAUGGCUGGUCAGAGAGAGGGAGAGAAAGAAAGAGAGAGAGUGGGUUUUUUUUCCCGAGAGGAGGAGGGGGUAUUUGGGGCAAGAACCUCUCCCUCUGGGGAAAAAAAGAAGAGGGGAAGACCUUGGUUGCUCUCACUCGAAUUAAAAUAACGAUGAAUUGAUAGGUUACUUACUAAACCUUUUAAAUUCCUUCCACGAUUCAGGAGUUUUGUAGCAAGGUGUUUUUUUCGUUCUUUUCCUUCCGAAAUUGCGAGGCCCCCAGCCGUGAUUAUUUUACCUUCCGAGCUGGCAAGGCCACGAGCCGAGGGUUCGUGGCGACAGCCGCAUAAAAAGUUAACAGGCCUGCGGUCGGUAGAACGAACGGAAAGGCCGGGUUAGAUGGCGCGUAGCACCUUCCUCCUACCGGAUUGUUUGGCGGUUCUGCUUUUUUACGAGGUUACAUAUAGAAUUUUGUACACGUACCAGCCCCUUUCAUGAUGGCACCGAGGGCCUGUUAAUUCAAGAACAUACUCUAGAAACAGUGGAAUUGGACGACGGAGAAUAACCAUAUGAGGGAUGUAAAAGUUUUUUGUCUGCAAUUUCGAAGAUUUUUAGGUUUAUAGCAGCAUCUUUCAGACAAUUCAAUUAGUAAAUAUUGGAGACAAAAUUAUCUUUAAACAAAAAAAGAAGAAGAAGAAGAAACAUCACUUGAUUUGCAAGCCAAUUCCUGUCAAGUUACCAGGUUUUAUAUUUGCAGGUAUCCAAACCUCUGCUUAAGACUAUUACUCCCCAAGAAAAUCCAGUAUAAUUCAAAGUUCAAACAAUCAGCAAACAAGUAGCACCACGCUCACUAUUAAUUGAAACCCAAAUGUAGCUUAACGUCAAUUAGUUCAUUCCCUAUUGCCAGGGUUAGGUCAAGGCUCAACCAUGGCUCCAGGAUGUCUGAAGCAUUCAUGAACCUCAAAUAUUGCCCCAACAAAUACAUCAUUGCCAUCCCAUGAACUCUCUUCCACUUCAAAGCAAACAAUAUUGUGCAUAGUGUACCAAAAAAAGCAUAUUGUGCACACAAGUCAAUGGCUUUUCAUAUCCUUCAGUUGAACAGUAGAACGAAGGACCUGGCAGCUCAUAUGCCCUGCAUUUGGUCUAGGAAUCACCUUGAAUGAGAAGAUCCUAGGUUCUUGUGAGAACCGUCCAGACAAGACUCCAUACCCACAUGUUUAAAGUUGUCGUCAGUAAAAUAUGUUCCAAGCUGUUGCAGUUUUCUUGGCCUGGAAAGAAUUGUUGUCUAUGUGCUUUUUGAAAGGUCACCUGGCAAUUGUGUCUGCAUGCUUCUCCUAAGAAAUUCUGAGAUCUUUGCACAUGCAGCAUGGCCAUGUCCAAGGCAGUUGAUAUAAUGACACUCUGAAUGGGGAGGAAAACCAGAAUUAUCAUUUGGAAAAUGUGGUGGAAACAUAAAGAUUCUGUUUACUAAUAGUUUUACUUUGUCCUGAAAUGUCAACCAAUCUAUAACUAAACUUUUGAUCUUACUCCAUAUAAAAAAUCAGAAAAAGAUUCCAGAGGUAAUGAUGAAAUUGUUCUUGUAAACUCUAACAGCAAUAAAUGAAGAUACUAGCAAAGGGCAUAACAAGUAAACAGAACAGAAAAGGUGAUAAGCUUGUACGAAAAGUUCAAUAAUACUCCAAUGAAGAUAGUAAUAAUUCUAUUACUGCUUAAUUUUCAACAAAAUAUUUAUACUGGAAAGGCUACCAAAAAACGAGGCAACAAAGAAAUCAUAUCUUACUAUUUGAGGGUGAUUGAGAUUUACCCAUAGUCUUUUUUUGGGGGGGGCUUCACUCUCUUACAGUUAUUUGGCAUAUUUGGCCGCUUGAGGUUUAGUAAUGCACUUGCUAUAUAAAAGUUAAAUAGGAAUCAUUUUGCUCCUGAGGUAUUAGCUUGUCCACUGCCAGUUUUGUAGGAUGCAUUUUGGUUUGAUUCCUUCGUUCAUCAUUUAUGGUUGAGAGACAGGCAUACUUUUCUGUUCGAUACAUCUAGUAAACUAUUUAUAAAAUUCAAGCAAUUUAAUUGUUAAAAGCAGGUAUGAUGUCAAUUUGACAUACUUGUGUGCAAGAGAGAGAGAGAUUUGGAUAACCAAUGAAAAAAAUGUUGGUUUAUGCAUCUUGUAGCUUCAGGUUCUUUGCAAUUACAGUGAUCAUAAAAAUUGUUAUUUUCAAGAAUAGAUAAGUCAGUUAACCAACAAAUGAACUAAGUAAUAAAAAAUGCAUGAUAAGAUCAAUUGACAUCCCAGUCAUCACAGAAACAGCAAAAGCCUUGUCAGCUAUGUGGCUGUAAUAUAUGUUAGAAUUGGCAGGGAACUGUGUCAUGGAUAACAUAUGGGGUUUGAACAGAGCACAUUCUCUAUAUCUCAAAACGGUGGGUUUCAGAAGGUCAUAAAAAUCAGGAAUCACUUGUAUGGUGCUCAUGAAUUCUUUUAUUAAAUUAUAAGAAAGAAGAAAUAUGAAAUUGUGAAUGCACUCAAAAGAGUGCAAAAUAUUUUCCCUUAUUCCCACUUAAAAAUUCUAACGAAAAUAUUUUUUGCUAAUUAGUCCAAAAUGGCAGGCCAUUCGUAGAUAGAUAGGUAGAUGUCAAUGGCACAGUUAGAAGGUCAUUCAGAUCAGAAACAGAAGCAAGUUUCUGAAACUUAGGUUAAUAGUAAGAACCUAACAUUAGCGAACCCUGUUACUUGAAUUGUCUAGAUUAGAAGACUGUAGGUGUACACAAUUGCAACAUGAAAAGGGAUAGUGUUAGAAUUUUUACCAGACAUUAGCCCAUGGGUAACAGAUGUUAUGAUUCCAGGUUCAUCAUCCACAGCCGAUGGUGCUUUAGGAAGGACAGAAAGUGGGGAAUUUGGAAACACCAAAUAAGCGAAGGCUCGCAUUUUCUGUCAUUUUGCCAAACAAAUUAAUAUUUCUAGUCAGUGUUAUUCUAUGAUGAAAGUAAUGACUUUCUGUACAUUUAAAAACAACUAAAUAUCUAAAGCGAAUAGAUUUAAUGUCUAAGUUCUCAUUUAAGAGUGGUGUGCAAUGCAUGACAACAAUAGAAUGCAGACAUCCAUCCGAACAUUAAAAUUAGAGUGCGGCAUUCAAAGGAAAGAUUUAUGUUAAUAUAUUUUUACAGUAUGCAUCCGAUAAAGCAACAUUGAACCUUCUAAAUUCAGUUGCAUCUUGGAUGAAGCAGAGGUAAAGUAAGAGAUGCAGGGUGGUCAAUAAGAAAAAUAAGGCAAAGCAGGAAGACAAAAACUUCCGAAUAAAAACAGCAUGACAGGCUUACAAGUUACAACACAACCAGAGAUUAAUAAUAUCAGAUAUCCUGACCUAGAUUGAAAUUACACUGAGAAUAAGGUAAUGAAGAAAAUGGUGAAUUUGGAGCGAGAAGAAUGAUGGGAACAGGGCUUGAAAAGCAAACUGGGAAUUGGACAUAUUGAAACUCCUAGACAUGAGUGGCACCUAUAUCUUCUUGGUCCUGCUUGCUUAAAGAAAAUUCCUGCACCUAAGGUUGUUUAUUAAGAUAAUUGAUUACCUGCUCUUCUGCUUUGGUUGGAUCUAAAAUUACAGAACCCGUCUCUGUUAAACCACAACAGAUUGCAACUGCAAGUAUAUCACAAGUUAAAUUGCAGCAUAAGGUAAAUGAAGAACAAAAUUACAAUGAUGGUUAGCUUACCAGCAAGAUGUUUUAAAGGAAUACCAGAAUCCACAAGUGCAGCACAGGAUGCAUUGAUGGCACAUGGGAGAAGCUAGAAACAUUUAUCAAGGAAUUUUCAUCAUUGGAAACAAUGUUUAGAUACAUUUACAUCUACUUCAUUUUGUAAUGAGGGGGGAGUGCAAAACAAAACCACAAAACCAAGGCUUUUAAAUACCACCAGAACAAGACAGUACAACCAGUAUCGCACAGUUCCAGCCAGAAAAGAGCAUUGAGAGCAAGGCAGUCCUUUCACUAGCAAGGCAGAGUUCACGCGCAUCAUGCAGGAUCAGGACCAUGGCACCCAAAAAAGAAUUUAGACAUGACAGGGAAAUGUUACCCUACAAGAGAGGAUCCAGAGGUGGUGCAGCUCACGGCAAAGAAGAUCGAGAUUAUGGAGAUAGUUGGAGAAUCAUUUGAGAGAAGCUAUGUUCAGGGGUAAGAUGAUUAUAUGCACACCUGGCAUGUUGGAAGCCGGGUUGAUAACAAAACUUACAUAGGAGGUGAACAGAGGAGCAGUACCAGAAUACACGAGAGCUGUUUCGUCAAAUAAAGGAAGUGGAUAUUAGUGACAGAUCAGCCAGUGUAUCGAAUAGCUUUAGCAUGCAACAGAUCUCAUCUUAUGCCAUAAGUAAAUCUCCUACUGCAUCAGAUAGACAGUGGACGGAGUGCUCCAUCCACAUACAAUCCUUAUGCAUUCUUUCACUCAUCUUAUUCAAGAGGAUCCGAAUGCAUAUUACCCCUGCAAUGAAUAUGGGUAUAGCUACGGGUCAGAGCAGGGACUACAUCCUACUACCCUUAAAAGGGAUGGUCAGUCUCCUACGACUACCACACACGCAACCGCAGUAUCAGGAACCACAACCAAGUCACUAUCAUACAUCAUAUGACCAGUAAGGAAGGGAUAAUUUCGAAGCUGGUAGAAUAUCCAAGAUCUAGACUACGAACAAGACCCAAAUAUCCACAAUAGCCAUAGAUACUCUACUUGGGGCUAAAGUUAUAGAGUAAAUUAUUAUACAUUUUUUUACAAUAUAUACUUUAUUUGUUGUUUUUAAUUAUAAAUGCUAGUUUAUUAAUCCAGGUUGACUCGAUCAGUGUCAGUACCAAUACUGGCACUCCGAUGUCACAAAUCCAUUGAAAAAGCAAUUAAAACACUUUAAAAAAAAAUGUUCAAUUGCAUAACAAGCCUAAAAAAUGAAAAAUACACAAAAAAGUGGUCUGGCCGGAGACCUGCACCAUAUACCGGUACGGGACGAACCAAUACCAUACCGAUCCAAUUAAACACUAGUACAAGCAUCGGUCUUGCAAAAACCUUCAACAAAAAUACCUUACAAUGCAAAUUAGGACGGCUUAACAACUUUCAGUGGAGGUCUCCUAGCUUGUCUUUUUAUGGAAGGAAUAGCAAAAGUAUGCUACUAUGGCCAAUUUUCCAUAUCUUUUUAAGCAAAUAACACCUUUAACAAACCAAAUCUUCAACAAAGUGAGUAUAAAAUAAUAAAUGCCGAAUACAUUAUUGAAGAGGCGUCUAGGAAUUGGGCAAAGGGUGGCUCAUUUUGUAAUGGAUGUCAACAUAUUUUAUCAACACUGCUAUAAAGUAAAAGAAGUGGCAUGUAUGUGGCUUACAUAUAGAUCUGUAGAUAUAGGUUUUUUAGCAUUGUGUCUAUGUUUGCAUAGUCAUUUGCAUUCCGACAUCUAACCAUAGGCUUUUUUUCUUUUUAAGAAAUAAAAAAUCAUCAUAUUUGGAAAAUAAGCACUAAAGAGGUAGAAAACAUAAAGGAUACAGCACCAUCAUCACCAACGACCUGUAAUACAAGAAAUAAUUGAUGUUAGCAGGAGAAGAAACAAAAGUCAAAAUAACUUGCUUGAAAUUAUAUAUAAAUAUGGAUUGACUUGAUAUUAUAUAAGCAACAGGGAAGUGCCAACCUUGGGAAUUAAUGCAUUCCAUCAAGUACUGAAGUCGUACAAACAUAAUCCUAUGUAUAAAUGGUAAUCCUAUCUUCACUAGUACUUCACAUUUUUGCAAGGUUCUUGCUUGCAGAAUAAAAGUAAGAUGAAUAAAUGCAUGCCAUCCACUAGAGAAAGCAAGAGUCCAAUAAUAUCAUACAUGCUCAUAAUUUACAGAAAAGCAGUCUAGUUCAUUAGUAGAUGUACCAGUCUGCACAUACCAAAAGUAAUAAUAGACACUUGACUCCCCACCCGGCCCACUCUUUAAAAAAAAGGCAAAAAAGGGGAAAAAGGUACAAAGAGUUUAGCUAGCAGGUAAAGAACCAAUUAUUGUGGAGGACUGUAAAAAAGUCAAGCAAGUUCUGGAGUGGAUGAUAGGAUAGUAAAGAAGGAGGUCUAUUAAGGUGAUUAUAUUGAGAAACUUUGAUAAACUCUAUAUGCUUGGUGAGGUCAGGAAAUGUCAAAUAAAUAAAUUGUUGGUAUUUGAAAAGGAUUUUGGCUGACACAAUCACAGCAGCUGUUACAUUGCAAAUUAAAGGAAAAAAAGCCAAAAGGGGGGAAAAGAACAGUUUGCUGAACAUGGUAUGAUACUCCGCCUCAACACUCAAGCAUGAAAUGACCUAGCCUCUUAGCUUACCAAGAGACUAGAAAAUCUCUUAGGAGAAAAAACAUAACUUGCCGCCGAAUAAUGAUCAAUGCAUCACUGACCAGCCAACAUCAGAACAUGCUUGAAGUUGAAGCAAAAAAAUGGGUAGAAAGUGUGCAAAUAUGCCUGAGUGAUAAUGCUACAAGGUCAGCAAAUAAUCCAGAAAGCUGAAACAAAAUGGACAGAUGAUGCAGCAGCAAUCAAUUGGCUAACAAAACACACAGCACAGUUCAUAUCCAGCCAUGAGAUGAUGAAAUAAACCACCCUACUAUGUGUUUUCAAAUUAUGCUUAAUAGGCAUAGGCAUUAACUCUAUUUCUGUUGGGCAAAUUUAUGAAAAUAAUGUCAUGGCACAGGAUAUGCAAACCCAAGGCCAAGAAAGAAGCAAAAAUAGUUUAAGCUACUAAUCUUGAACCAGUCUAAAGUGCCCCUUAACAUAUUGAAGUAGAUGAGAUUAUCCCUAGUUAUACCCAUGCCAUCAUCAUGUAGGUGAGAGUCUGAGAGACACUUGCAAACAAAAUGGCAUAAACUAUAUGCCAAAGCCUGUUUCAGACCACAUGGGACAUUAUGAGGGGAGCUUACAUGCUGAGGUUGACAAGGACAAGAGGAGUUCACAAAUAGGCUCUUCUCCAUACAUAAUAACAGUGAAAGCAUUUUUCAUGAUUUUAAAGUGUAGAAGGCUCUUUAACUACAGGUCAUUGCUAGUGGGCAUGCUAGCACUCUCUUGAUGUGACCUUACUCAUGGAAAGAGUUGGUGGCCACAACAAACCAUUGAAAUUCGAGGGUACUUGUUACCCAUGGAGAGAAGAUUGAUAGGUAAGUUUAUCAACUAUACAGCAAUUAUGACUCAUGAAUGCUAGAACAAAAUAAUGUAGGGAGGCUUGAGAUCAUAAGUUGUAGAACAUAAGUUAAAACAGACUCAAAAAUGGGUACACAUAAGGACCUGAUAAUACAGCAGUACUUAGUGCUACCUAAGUAAUUGGAGGUCUGUACGGACAGUACGGUGCCCAACUAUUGAGGACAUCAGGUGCAUAACAUAUCAAAAACAUGGACCUAAAAACAGCACAUCUUAAAAACAUAUUAUGCUACAGGAUCGAGUAUGAACCUGAGAAUUGGUAAAAGGGUCAAAAAGCAAAAUAAGGAGAAGGAUCAAAAGGUCUAAAAUGUAGAAACAAUGAGAAAGCUGCUAAAGGAUACAGGUUAAGCAAUAAAUACUUUUAAUGGUGGCAACCAUAGAAGGAACUAGCAAAUAAAAAGAUGAUAGUAGAGAAGGCUCUCAAAGAUUGUCACAUUGUUGAAGCAUGUUUGUAUCUAGUAAGUAGGUUUUUGAAAUUUUCUACCUCGAUGGCAUUAUGGCUUUUCCCAAUGGUUCUUAUAUAACCAUGGCAGCAAAAGAAACUAAAAUCAUGUUCCACACAUGCUAAAACAUUCAUCAUCUACAGCUAAGGUCUCGCCUUAGAUUGUCACUAUAGAUGAAUUCCAAACCAACUUUACUCACCACAACAUUUAUUUAAAAGAUGCAUGUAGUUCAAUACAGCAUAUAAAAAGCUUCAAAAUUUUGAAACACUGUCCGUUCAGGAAUAGUGCAGUGAAUAUUUAGGAUUCAUAUUAAAUUAAGUUAAUUCAACUCUCAAAUGUAACCUAUUGUGAUUUUAUACAGUAUGGUUUGUCUUUUGGAACCAUUUAAGUUUAGCAUAUUAGCUUAUCCUAUGAGAUGGCUGUUCAAACUUCAAAGUAUCCAAAUGAAACACAUAAAAUUUAAUGUAUAGGAGUGCGUAUGCUCGCUAUGUAUAGGAGAUAUUACAGUAAAAUUAACAAUGAGGCAAUAGAAGUUAAAAUAUUUGAAAAAACCAUGUAGAAAAUUUGAUAUGUAAAAACUGCAGAAGCCAAGACAGAUGAAGGAAUUAAACAAAAAUUUACAAAUGGAACACCUGACCUGAAGUAUGAUAGAGGUUGUGGUAUUUGGAUGGAUUGUCAACAGGCAGAUGCUUUGCAAAGUUCUCUUCAAGAUCAUCUCAUACUCCUUUUCUUCUUUUCCUAAAUAAUAAUUAAAAGAACCCCUUAAGAAUUUAGAAGAAUUUGGAUAAAGGAUAUGCACGGUGAAUAAUUCAUUUCCUUGUAACAUGCUAAUAGGUACUGAAGUAUAUGAGAUUAUGUUCUUUCCAUAGUGUCAUUGCUUCAGCCUUCAAUUUACAUGCUAUCUAUCUCACCAGUCUAGACACAUAAAGGUUAGGCCAAUUUAUCAUAAAAUCAUGUAUGUUGUUAAGACAGACCAAUUGUCUGCAUAAUCUUAUAUUUUAACCAUGUUGCCCACCAUCCUCCCUUGUUAUAAGCUAUAUCAUUUCUAUUCUUCAACAGCACCAGUCCAAACCUUAGUUACUUGAAUUGAGAGAGAGUGAAAGAGCAGUUAGGAAGUGGGUGCUGGUCUGAAUUUUGAGGGAGAUUAUGGGGCAGAUACAUUAUCCUAGGUAGAUUUUCAGAGAGAUUUUGAAGCAGACGUCAUCCUAGGUAGAGGUUUCUUACUAGUAAGGUCCAACAAAUCUCCAAAGCAGAAACUGAUCUUUCCUAGCUUCCUCAAGGAAAGAUGGAAAUUUUCAUAGGUCGGUCUUUUCCCAAGCACGAGGGUAACAAUCUACCAAAGUUGGCAUUGGUAGAAGGCAACAUAUAGUCAACAGGUGGGAAAACAAGAACUUUUGAGCAAUAACAUCCUAUAAGAAGUCAAGUCUUCAAAGACAUUAUCCAUCUGAAUAUCCUGAUAUAUUUUCCUUUGCUAAUUUCUUGUAAAGAAGAAAACUCUGAUAAGCUCAAUUGAAGUUUAAACUUGAGUCAUUAACUUAUCAAUAGGCACAGAACACCAGUUACCAAGCAGGUAGACAAACUUUUUUUUAAAUUCUUGGGCUGUUUGUCAGUUCACAAAGAACAUACUAAAUUUGUUAAUCCAGUAUUCCACAAAAGGGCCAUCAGACAUGCUAAAACAACACCACCAAAAAUAAAAAGAGAAAGAGAAAGAAAAGCCACCAUCAAUUUAAUUGUUGGGAGGAAAAUUGUUGGAGGACUGGCAUAAAUGGGCACCUUUUUUUGAAUAAAGAGAAGAACUUUUGAGAUUCGUGAUAUGGCAAGAAAUAAAGAACUCAAGAUUAUAUGAUACCUUCAAAACCAAAACAACAAAUAUCUAGUUUUGCAAAAUACUAAAACUUAGUUUAUGAUUUAAAUGGCUGAUAGAGAAAUUUUCAGUAGAACUUCCAUCUUUCAUGAGCUAGUCCUCUAGAUAGGCUAGUCCUACUUCCUUAAAAUAGCUCCACAUAACGCACUCACUAUUGCAUGAUCAAGUAAUAUAAGAAAAUAAUUAGUUCAAUAACCAGACAAAGAAACCAAGCAAACUUCAGAAAGAAUGUAUAUAUAUUUGCAAUAUGCCAAACUGCUAAGGGAAAAAAAUAACGGAGGUAAAUACCAAUCUGCCCAGUUUUGGGCUUCCAAAUUACUUCAAUACAGGCUUUCUCAGGGUUCUCGCCCUUUCUGGUUCCUGCUUUUGGUCCGUAAACAGCAGCCAGUACAAUUGUAUCACCUGUGCAUAUUAAAAAAUAAUUAUCAAAAUGUUGGAGUAGUUGCCAGAGGGAAAUUUAUAAAAAGACCCAAUUGAAAGUAAAGAGUGGUUGCAACCAACUUAACCAGUGCCAAGCACAUCUUAUAAACUCAUCACAACUCUUAGAAAGGAGCAUAAACCUAAAACUCAAGAGAUCAAAUGAGAGGUUACCAACUAUAAUAAGUUUUUAUAGAAUAUGAUAACAGAAAAGGAGACCAAAAAUGAAAAUUUCAGCAAAAAGUUAAUUUAUGAUUUGAAAAUGGCCUAGAGGAUGAUCUUUGCGAAUGAACUCCAGAAGUAAGGGAUACUAAACUAUGGUGACAAACCCAUUAUGGGAUGUUUUUCCUCCAUCUUUCGCUCCUCAUUCCCUAUGUCACUAUGAACUAUGAGCAACAUAAUAUUUAUUAGAAUAAGAUUCCACUUCCUAUUCCCGCUCACAGCUUUUGAGGUGCCUUUGCAGAGAUGUCCAAUAAAUACAAAGUUUUCUUUUCUCCCUAACAAAUAAGGUACGAUGACAAAUGACUGUUUGCUGAUCUCCAUAAUCAACCAACGAAAGUUCUAAAUUUUACCAUCUAAGAGUAACAGCAAUUUAUAAAAUCUCCCUCCAAAUUAGAAAAACAGAUGCAACUGAAAGUACUUAAUAAUACAAUCAUUCAGAGCAUCCUAGCCUUUUCAACUAACCCAAGAACAUUCUCAAGUUGCAUCCUCCAUUCUACUUCUUGGUAAGUAAAAUAGCAUUCCUAGGUAAAAGGUACUUAGAUAAAAGGCUCAGCCACAACGUAGUUCCAUUAUACAGUUUCGUUUUCAAAAUUUAUCAAAAUUGCAUACAUCAUAUAUGCAUUAAGGCAAAUCUACUAAUAUGACUGUUGGAAAUCAACUUUAUUGAAUGUACAAACAAAAAUGUUCCAUCCUCAAAGCUUCCAGGUUCUUAUAAGCCAAAGCUUCAAAGCAGGAUCACCUAUAUUGACACUCUCACUCUAGCUGGCUAUCAUGAUCCAGGUGUGAGUUACAAAUUAUGAACAACAUAGUUUUAUUGUUCCAUCCACCAAAUUCGUUUCCUGCUCGAAGUCCUAUCUCCUCUCCUGAACUCUAACACUUAAAGUUCAUUGUACUGAUACUUGAGGAAAUAUAACCAUAUAUAUCAUAAUAUGAGUGUUAAUUGGAUACAGUAGUUGAAACAAAGCAUGAAAAGCAUAUAAUCCACUACUUAGAGCAAUAGACAAGAUGUGCACAUGAUGCAGGACAAAUGGUAUUCACAAGUAACUAACUAUUAAUUAUAGAAAAUAUAUAAUUUUAACCAUUCAAUGAACUUGUUACAUGUGCAAGACAAUUAGAAGAUAUGAUUUGAGACCCACAAAGCUCUAGUCACCAUAAAAUUUUCUCAGUAGACCAUUUCGUCAAUAAGAGUAGAGGAGAACUUUUAAUAAAACAUGAACACCAUUAUUUCGUUACAUGGUUAUUUUCUGUUUAUCGCAAUCAUCUUGAUUGUUUAAUGAUUUAUUCUAAAGUUGCCUCAUACAAUCCUUUAUAAGAAUUCCUUAAGAACGAAUGACAUGCCAGCAUAUAGUUUCUAUUAGCAAAUCCACAUUUUCAUUUUGAUGCAUAUAGUAUGACUAUAGAAGAAAACCGACAAUACACAGAAAAUCAUCUUGUUUGCCAAAUGGAUAGUCAAGGUUUACCGUACCCGUACUAAACCGGUACACAAUCUCAUACCAUACCAACACUCGGGUACACCUCUCCAUCUCAAACCAUACUACACACUGACACUGUAAUAAGAUGAUACUGGUCCAAGAUUUGGUACCGAGACGGCGAACCUUGUGGACAGCGGUUUGUACCACCACCAGACCCAAGAGAGCAACAUAUGUUGUCGCCACCGACUAGGAGGAAAAUGGAGUUAUGCUCCCGAGCAUUUGUUCAUGACCUUUGACCAGCCAUAUGUCUAGAAGUGAUGGGCAGAAGUCAUUGUUAACUGAAUUCUGCGUAACUCACUAUUGUAAAAAGUUAUUGGUAUCACAACAACCUGGUGAUGAACAAUUGAUGCCAACAUGAUUAUAUAGUAUGAUACAUCCUCGGCAAUGGUUAUUCACGAAAAUAAAAAUUCAAGAUUGUUGGUAACAAAUCUAGUAUAUUAGAACUGGCCAACAAAUAACCACCAUGACUGCAUUCUUUUUUUUUUAUGGAAGCAUAAGUGAAUCAAAGAUCAAAGUUAUUAUACCCUACACGCACUCAACAGUCAUGUAAUGCAUUCAAUGUCUAAAAACGUUGUCAUCUAAAAUAGAUUUCUUGCUAUGCCUACAUAAAUGGUGUUUAUGAUGGUAAGCCACCAUUAUCAUCGUGAUAGUCAAAUGGGUUAUUUAUGGACUUGAUAGGUUUUCAUUCUUGCUUUUGACUUUGAGUAAUCAUUAGUUUGAUAUAACUUUCUAGAUUUCAUUCUUGCUUUCCACUUUCAGUGAUCAUUAGUUUGAUAUAACAUUCAUGCUUCAUUUGUCGCUUGUAAAAACUAACUUGGUUUGAACUCAUAUCUUUGAGAAGUAUAGAUGCAACUUUGAUGUCAUGGAUUCAUAUCCAAUUUACCCAUUUAACACAAACCGACAUAUAAUAUAAGCAAUAAAAGAAAUAAUAUAGGUUUGGGCUUUGAAGAAGACUGGAAAUAAAAGGAAGAUACAAAACAAAGAUAAUAGAUGCUUCAUGGCAUGACUAAUUCUAAGAACACAAUAAAAACAGGGACAAGCAGUAGAUUAUACAUAAAGACAACCCAUUAGACAAAUGGAAUAAGCAAUCAAGAGAGAAUAAAAUAAAAUAAAUCAUUCGAAUCCCAGAGAAACACAAAAACCCACCUACAAGAAAUAACCAAAAUUAGAAUUUAGCAAGAGCAAUUGAAGCAAACAAAACAUAAAGGGCAAGGAACAAGUUACAUGAUAUCAUAUACCAAAAGAAAAUGGGCGGCUAUUGAUGUCAGAGGGCAAAAAAAGAAAAAGAAAAUGAGGAAAAAAAUACAGAAUAAUCUCCAUUUUAAAAGAAAAGGAAGAUGUAAACUUUACUCACUGUGUCUGGAUUGGGUUUUACCUUGGGACCAACGAGCCGAUCCAUGAGCUCGGUGGAGCAGAUUCCGAGAACAAGCGAGCGGUCUCAGUUGAUUCGGGGUACGCCCGUCCGCCCUAACCACCUCCAUCUCUCCCACGACCCCCUUGCUGGAUUCCAAAGGGAUGGAAAAGAAGAAUCCAAAUAUCCCGCCAAAUCAAGAACUUUCCGCUCGUCCCCUUUAAUAUGAAAGGUAUCAAAACCGGAGUUUUGAGACGUUUGAGAUGGAGACAAUGGGGAGCUCUAAAACCCUAAAACCCAGCCACGGACACAGGAAAAUAGAGGACGGACGCCAACGGACCGGGCAAGGGCCGAGUUAGGGGGUCGUGGGAGAGAGGAGUCCGCCGUCGACGGUUUCCCAAUCGCCGCCCGCCGUCCACCUAUCGACCCCACCGAAAGCCGUAUGCUUCCCCUCGUCCGGCAGUCACCGGCAGCCUCCGGUCGGAAGCAGAAGAUGCGACGGAAGGCCGGUAAGGGGGGGGGGGCGGACUCCGGAGACGGAGAGGGCGGGGGAUGAUAGGGUUUUUGAUCCUUUCCCUUGGUGAAUAAUCACGUGCACCGUGCGUGCCAAAAUCAAGUAACAUCCGGACUUUAGCGGGUUUCAUGUUUGUACAAAAAGUCCAAGAACGGGCUAGGCCGGAACCGUCGUGGACAAAUGAAUUGCAGACUCUCCGCACCAAUGAAAAAAUAAAUUGCAGACUUUAGUUUUUAAAAAAAUAAGGUAAAACCAUAAUUUAAUAGAUGAGAGAGGACCGUGAGAGAGUCAUGGAUGGAUCUUGGACAGAACAUGAGAGAAGCGUGAAGAAACCUAAAUGGAUCUAGCGCUGUUAAACAAACUAAUCAAUUCAAGCUCGAUUCAAAAUUAAGCAAAUCAAGCUUGAACCAUCAUAAUAUGCUCAAAAUUAAUUUCAAAUUGAACAAAAAAUGAUCCAACUUGGUUUAAUAACGCUUAAAUGUAUUUAUAUUUAUACGUAAAUAAUGUAUUUUUGAAUUAAAAUUCUAUUUUUUUUAGAAAAAAGAAAAAAUCUCAAUUGAUUGAAUUGAGAUGCAACUAAAAAUGCUGGAAAUUGCUAAAACAUAAGCAAAAGAAGGCCAAAUCAUGUUCAAACCAAGCUAUACUUCAAGCUUGAACCAAGUCAUGUUCAAUCUUGAUUAGAAUUAUCAAGCUUGUGUUUGUCUCGGUUCAAAACUAAUCUGGAAUUCAACUUGAAAUAAUAGCAAACAAAUCAAGCUUGAUCCAGGAGUUCUAGGUUAAAGUUGAUAUCAAACUAUGCUUGAUCGGAACCAAACUUAAUUAUAGUUGGCUUAGCUUGAUUAUCUCUUUUUUUUAAAAAAAAAAAUAUGAUUUUUGUUAUGAUCUUUUAAAAAAUUCAAAUCUUAAAAUCUUUAUAUUUUUUAUUAUUUCUAUAUAAGAUAAUUUAAUACAAGUAGGCUUAUAUUUAAUAAAGUCGAAUAGGUUUAGGCCUAGCUGAGCUUUGUAGCUUCGGGCUAAUGAUGACCCAUCCAAGUUUGCUUUUCAUGGCUCAACUACGACAUGAUGUGUGGACAUCUUGUUAAUUUUAAAGGAGUGUUAAACUGAUACAGGGUGUUUAAUAUUUUGAUGCUUAUUAGACUUAAUUUUGUUCGCCAAUAAACACGCAACAUAACAAAAAACUGCUCAUUAUUAGUUCCAUAGUGAUUGUCACUCAUUUGCUUGUUCUCUUGCCAUGAAAAACAUGUAGUCAUAUAUGUAUACUUUUUGGGGGGAAGAAAUAACUUGAAAUAGUCUAAAUGAUGGUUUAACUAAAAUUUUGCCCCAAUAACUAUGGGACUUGUCAACCAAAAAUGUUAUCUUCUAUAGAAUAAUAAGAUCAUACAAAGGAGUAUUCGGGUUGUGAUUUUUAAAUCUUUUAUUUUUUGGUGGAUGAUUAAUGUCUAAUUUUUAUAUUCUACAAGCUAUGGAAGGCAUCACAUGGCCCAUCGGCUAAGCUUUGAAACAAUUUUUUUCUCUUUUAAGAUGACAUGCCCAUACGAGGUACCUUCCCUUUUUUUUAUUGCAUUGGUACUUAAUAUUUGAUUGGAAGCAAUUUUUGAAAUUCAGCUCGCGCGCGCAUAUAUAUAUAUAUAUAUAUAUAUGUUGGUGGAAAAAUGGACCACCCCACAAAUGUAAUUAUAGCACCCAAAUCCAUCAGCAAGCUCGAGCUCAUCCUAAGUGAUCGGGCUCUUCCGCUCUCGAGCUCAUCCUAAGUGAUCGGGCUCUUCCGCUCUCGAGCUCAUCCUAAGUGAUCCGGCUCUUCCGCUCUCGAGCUCAUCCUAAGUGAUCGAGCUCUUCCGCUCUCGAGCUCAUAGACCAGAGAGCCGAGACCAGAGAGCCGAGACCAGAAGGCCGAGACCAGAGAGCCGAGACCAGAAGGCCGAGCACAGCAGGCCAAGCCCAUGCUUUAGCCAAAUAUCCAAUUUCCACCUGACCCUCUAAGGGACCUGACAACUCCACUAUAACCUGCCGCUAUCUUCAAGCCAUCAAGGCAUAAGAUCUCCGCAGGUAUUCAGCACGACCUGCCAUUAAUGCAUGAGACCCCCUCAAGUCUCCGAUGCAUUCAGUCAUUUAAUGAACACGGCUCAAGGCGAUCUCCGGAUCACUGAACCAUCAAAGCGUAUGGCUCUCCCUGACCGCCGGUUCCCUCGGUAAUAAAUGCACUUACCAUCCACGGACCCCAGGCCCACCACGGCCGGCGGUUCAACCACCCCAACAGGUCCGAUCGACCGUGACAACUCCCUGGUUCCGGUCUGAUUCGGCCUUAUUUUCCACCACGCCAUUAAUGGGCCAAAUCGUGCCCAAUUAUUACAAAACAGGACAAACCUCCUGUCACCUCCCAGGUAACAAAAAUCCUCCUAUAAAAGGAAACCUGGGGGGAAAAGGGAGGGAGGACCAAAA